AGUUUAUCUAUCUACUCAGGAGGGGUGAGGAGCAUUCUUUCAUUCUUAAACCAGCUACUAGGAUGUGUGGAGAGAAUAGGAGUAAUGGCGAGGCAACUCCAACUCAUCCCCUUUCAAAGCUGGGUACAGCUGCAUCAAAUAUGCAUGUGGCAUUAAGGGUUAGCGAACAUAAGAAGGUUUCUCCAGCUGCUGAUCAGUAUGCAGUUCUAGUAUCUUGUCGCUGCAACUAUACAGGUAACACUUGAAUGAAACGAAACACCAAAUGCAUCAAAUGCUUCACAAGAAAUUUUAAGAGUCUAAACCUAACAAUUUUUUUUUCCCUUUUGUUAGAGUCAAAACUCUUUUUUAAACAGGCAACAAAUUGGCGGCCCUGUGUUGCCAGAGACCUUAUGAUCUCUGUAUCAUCUGAACCUUACAAACAAACUGUUGGACCAACUGCUAGAGUACCUCAACUGCCUGUUCAGGUUGUAACCACUCUUUUUCUAUUUUCACAUUCUUAUAUAUGUAACCCAAGAUACUUUUUAACUCUUGAUGUACAUUAAUAUUUUCUGAUUUUUCUGAGUCUCAGGUGCUUACACUUGAAGCUACAAAUCUAACGGCCGAAGAUCUUACUUUAACUGUUCUUGCUCCAGAAUCAUCUACUUCCUACUCUUCAGUUUUAUCAUUGAAUUCAACUCCAACAAAUCCGGUCAAUUCCUAUGAUGGUCUCAACGAGUACAUGGGAAGAACAGGCGGAGAUAAACGUGCAGCAAGAAUCCAAAGGUUGAGGUCUAUUCCUGCAGAUUCUCGAAAGGAAGUUGAUGGUGGUGAUAAUGAAUCAAGUAAUGCUGAAGGCUGUACGCAUCUAUGGCUGCAAAGUGCAGUACCUCUUGGGUACCUCUCUCUCUCUCUCUCUCUCUCUCUCUCUCUCUCUAGAACUGUAACAUGGACUGACACAUCUAUUGCGUGGUCAAACUAGAUGUGUUCCUGCACGUUCGAGUGCAACUGUCAAGCUUGAGCUACUACCAUUAACUGAUGGGAUCAUAACGCUUGAUACUCUUAAAAUAGCUAUCAAGGAGAAAGGUAUGGUUCUUAAAUUUUCACUGAAUUACCUGAAGCAAUAGUUAUCUGGUUUACAAAGAUAAAACCUUCAUGUGUCAUAAACUAGAUGUGUUCCUGCACAUUCAUUCACUCCUCACAUGUGCCAUUGAGGUAUCUAGACAUAAAAUUCAUAGGAAACUAAACUAUUAUGUAAUCCUUAUUCCUACUGUGACUUUUUCAAAGACCCUUCUUCACAGAAGCAACAUGUGAACACAUUAGCUGCAUUCAGCUCGAGUGUUUGAGAGUAUCUGAUAUUCCCCGUGUACUAGAUAUUUUAUUUUUUUUACAUAUAUAAGCGAAAAAUCUUCGAUCUUUCUUAUUACUGUUGGUUUCUUUCUGAAUGUUAGCUUUAACUGAAGGUAGCACAUGUGAAUGAGCAACUUACUGAAGUGUUCAACGGAAACCUGAUGACAUGUGAUAAAAUUUUGAACCUGUAUGAGACAUCCUUAUGAAUAAUAAUAAUAAUAAUAAAUCAUCUUUGAUCAUAAUAUAAUAUAAAAUGGCUGAGGUAUUAGGUAGCCAUUCUUGAGUUGAUGAGUCUGAUCAAGACGCUACAUUUCGUUUGGAGUUCUUCUCUUUCCACCCUUUAUUUAUUGCAGGCAGCUAGUAUCGAAUCAUCUCUUUCAACACCAACAUUCUUGUCAGUUCGCUUGUAUUAUCAAAGAUUAAUGGAAGAUAUUUCUACCUGCUACCUUUCAAUCUAUUUAGGUCUAACAUACAUACCGGAGCACUCAUUGAAGAUCUAUGCAACUUCAGGCAUUUCAACAGGGAUCUUGUAGGGUAAUUGCACCUUGAUCUCCAGCCACGACUACAAGCUCAUAACCGCUAUGGUAUACCGAAAUGUUGUUUGUGAGUUGUUCUUUAUCCUGAGCCCUGGCCUCAUGCCUAUGUGCAUUUCGUUAUUUUACGAUGACAUCUGUUGCCCAUUUGAGGGCUGAUGACAUCUGUUGCCCAUUUGAGGGCUGCUGUGUUGGAGAAUGAGUGCAUUGUUUUUUAGAGUCGAUUGGUAUAUCCAAAUUCAGUUGCAUCUUGUCAAUAGAAAAUGUCCAACAACAAAAACUUUAUCCGAUUUGUCUUCCCCGUCUAGGUGGGAAAGUUGGAGUUAUUUUCUGUUUUGUUGUUCAGCAAAAUGUGUGAAUUUCUCAUUCGGCUGUAUGAUAAUAAAGUAAAGAUUCAUGUCCAUCGCUUAUUAAUCUCUUGUUAAAUGUGAGAUGCACCAGUUAUUUCUUUUGUUAGCCAAAAUAGCAAUUGCCUGUGGAGUUGUGCUAGUCUUUUGUCCAAUAUUCAUUUAGGCGGUGUCUGGUUCCAUGUGGAAGAGUGCUCGAAAACAAGUUUUGAGGUGAAAUGGCGAAUUCACAUGUAAAGCGAGACUUUAUUUCUCGCAAUCGGCUUGCAUGUAUUACUCGCUGGUUUUUGGAUAUUGACAUGUAAUUUAUUGUUAGAUCGCUUGUUACUGUAAUCGUUUCCUGUGUUGAUAGUUGUUGUCAUAUGCAAAUAAACGUGAAGAAAAUGGAAGCUGUUCUUGGUGUUUGAACAAAUUAUUUUUUCGGGCUUCAAAUUCGGGAGAUUUUCCCGAACCAAGGCUCGAGAUUGCUUUGAACAAGUCGGUAACUUAGCCAAAUCUAACUUUUCGAAUUUGAUACAAAAGAAAGCUAUCACUUUGAUUCCGUAUGAAGUUUGUAUUUAUGUAGUCAAGUAAACUUGUGAAUGUCAAAAGCGAAAAAAAGAAAAAAAAAAAAAAUUGAAAGUUUUGUUCUUAUGGUUUUAGAUGUGAUAUAGCGUACUAAAAGAUCUGUAUCUUAAAAGCUAUGUACUUCUCAUAUAAAUAUAUAUAUUGAGUCGAAGAUUUUAAAAUAUCUAGCUUAGGCCCACAUGCGUAAACUUCUCGAUACUUGGACUCGCCCGCCACGUGGCGGAAGACGCUUAUCUGUAUUUGAUAGCGAUGCACUAUCGCGUGCGAUCCCUCUUGGCGUUGGAUCCUUCAGAGCGAAGUAAACCAAGCCCGGCUAGGAAACAAAUUUAACCCAUCUAAAUUUCUAUGCGGAGGAUCAUCCACCGUUCGCUUCCGCAACAUUGCGCGCGAUCAAACGCUCGGUACCACUCUCCGCAUAAAAGGAUCUAUAGGGGCUGCGCGAGCCUUAGUUCCGUCCUCUUCCGUCGCCGUCCCCAGUGAAGCAGGUGACAACGCGGAGGAGUGGGUCGGUUUCUUUCCUCUUUCCUUUCUCUUUAUUUUAUUGUACACAAAGGAGAAAAAGAUUAGAACCCAAUAACGGUUCCGACGAUUAGAUUACGAGUUUGAUUCGAUCGAUAGGGAUUGGAAAUCGCCAUGUCGAUGCUCGAUUCCUUCUUCAGCAAGGGCGCGUUCAAGGGUUCUAAAUGGUAAAUCUUCGCUAUAAUGUUUCUUUGCCGAGUCCCUAUUUUCUCUAAUUUGAUCGGGUUUUCGACUAAUUGUGAGAUUUUUCUUAGCAAACCUAGUGGGAAUUGUUGGGGAUUCGAAGUUAGAUUAUUAGAUCUUAUGAGUAUUUUAGAGAUUUUUCUUUCUUCUUAAUUGAGAGAAGGGUUGAUCUGGUGGAACCUAUGCCUUUUCCUGUAUUUGAUCAGCAAAACGUUGUUGAAAUUGACGAUUCCGAGGAUAAAAUUGCUGCGGAAUCGAAGGGAGAUUCAGCUGAAGCAGAUGCGCAAGGAUAUAGCGAAGCUUCUGGAGAGUGGGCAGGAGGCGACCGCUCGGAUAAGGGUAUGAUGCAUUUCCUCGUUAGCAUUAUAAAGCAUAAAAAAGGAACGCUUUAUAUCAUUUUGAUGAAUUUGUUUGGAUUGAUCAUCGUCAAUGGUUCAUAAGAUUGGACGCACGUGUACAUAAUAUGAAACAGCUUAGAUCUUUAGCAGGAUUGAUUUUAUCUGUUAUUGCUUGCAGGUGGAACAUAUAAUCAGGGAGGAGAACAUGAUGGCGGCACAGGAGAUUCUUGAAUUGUUUUGUGAACUCAUUGCUGUUCGGCUUCCCAUAAUUGAAACACAAAAGUAAUCUAAUAACAAAUUUGGUUCUUCCCACUAUCUUUCAUGUUUUGCUAAUGUCUUCUCAGUUGAUUAUGGUCAUUUUAUCAUCCAAAUAUGUACUGUCACUAUAUCAUAAUUUUUUGCUAAUUUUAUCACAUCGGAUAAUCAAUAGGAAAACUUCAUCUUGGUUAUCCGAAUAUUUUGAGUAUAUUAACAUUUUCAUCAAACUGAAAGGGUGUUAUUGCAACAAAGUGCUAAGGUACCAUAUUCUAGGAUAAAAUGUACAUUACAAGUUUGAGGAACCCUUGUGCAUUCUAUCGUUAAGUCUUAUAUACCAUAUUGUAGAACGAAGAGGAUAAAUUUCUACCCAAGUUUUUGGAUAGUAGUUUUAAGGAGCAUGCGAAGCUUUAGUUAUCUUAUUUUACUGGAGUCGCAGAUUUGUAGGAAUCACUUCUACCAUGGGAAACAAUAUCUUAGGUGUUAAAAAAAUAUCUUAAAUCUUACCAAGUAGCCUAUUUUUUUCUUUUGCUAUGACUUGUGAACGAAGUAUCAGAUAGUCCCAUUCUAAUGAACCCAACAAUGGCUCUUGGGACUUGUCAGUGGUCUUAGUUUUAAUCUUCCUUUUGGUAAAUUUGGUGUGCGAAAAAUAUCUAAAUUGCACGAGCAUUACUAAUCACUGAUCCCUAAUUUUUCUUCUAUUUGUUGAGUUCGGUAACAUUCACAUAAUUUUUCUCCCCUGAUGAACUGAAAAUUUAUCAUUAUGUCCCUAAGUUUUUGUUCGCAUACUCGCUUUAUUUGCAUCCAUCAUGACGUCUUUUGGUAGGUAUUAUGAUUUUGCCCACCUUGCAUUUCAUCGUCUUCAUCUGGGUUUUUGUGUUAAUCUUUGAAGUUCUUACUGACAUCCUCCUAUAUACAUCCAUCUGCAUGUUUCACCGUGUCCAAAACCAGUUUUACCGGAUAAUACAAUCGGUUGCAUGUAUUCUGCCUCUGAAUAUUGUUAUUCAGAGCUUGUUUUUGCUUAUAAUUUGUUUUGCAAGGUCAUGAGCACAUCAGUAUCUCCUCUUGUUUGGUCAGACAUUCAGUAGGUAGGGAAUUUUGUAAUUCUUUAAAUCCUUUUGGUUGACCUAACAUAAAUUAUGUUUAAAUUUGUGGUCAAAUACAAGUUCAGAUAAGAGAGUGGCAUGCUUUGAAAUAGUCAGACAGCAAAUAAAUUUUCGUCUGCUUGCUUAUAGAUUUUGAUCGAUCCUGUUUAUUUGAUGCAUUAUUCUGAUGUUCUAACCUAUCAAAUCAUUUCAAUAAAUCACUUUCAUAAGGCCAAAUAUGGAUAAUUUAUCAAAUCAUUUUCUGUCUCUUUGUUCAGAGAAUGCCCUCUAGACCUUAAAGAAGCAAUAUCCAGCAUCUGUUUUGCUGCACCGAGAUGUGCGGAUCUUCCUGAACUUCAGCAAGUCCAGAUGCUAUUCGCUGCCAAAUAUGGCAAGGAAUUUGUUACAGCUGCCACCGAACUUUUGCCAGAUUGUGGAGUCAAUCGCCAGGUUACAAGAACUUUCAAUCAUUAGUAAUUUUUUAGGAGUAAAACGUAUGGAUGGUCCCUGCGCAAUCCAAAAUAUUGUGUAGUGUCCCUGAAACACUUUAGUUUUGAACUUUCUCAUAUGUUGCUAUUUCAUUCGUGACCACAAAGGAAAUCUAAAAUUUCUCAUUUAGAAGGGUCAUCUUACCCCUCUUCAAUGGCUUCCUUAUUUUGGUGUGCUGAAGAAAAUCACAUAUUGUCGACUAUGUAGUGUCCAGGGAUGGAAUUCCAACAUGUCAGAAAGUUCAGGAGUAAAGUGUUUAGUUAAUAGUUUUGAGGAUCAUCCACACAUUUUAAACUAUUCUGAUUCAUUACCUCAAGUAACAGCCAUAUUUAAUUCCUGGGAACUCCACUGUGCAGAUAAUUGAAUUAUUGUCGGUUCGUGCACCUUCUGUGGAAGCAAAAUUGAAAUUACUGAAGGAGAUAGCCGAAGAGCACGAAUUAGAUUGGGACCCAUCAGCCACAGAAACGGAAUUUCUUAAACCCCAUGAAGAUCUCUUGGUAAGUUUGAAGCCAUCGGGUGUCGUAUAUAGUUCAGAUUUUUCAUUUUCUGAUUAAAUUUGUUUCUUUUCUAUAGAAUGGACCGACUCAAUUUACCAAUGGUUCCACAUUGUCGCUGCCCAAAGAGAAACAUGAAGAUACAUUAGCUCCCAAAACUAUGGAUGAGUCGCAUGAUGAACCCGAUUCAGAUGUGGGCUUUGAUUCGUUAGAUUUGCCUGAGGUUCCAAAAGUUUUAGUCCAACCAAAUUCUGACAUUCAAUCUGCUCAAAAAAUGGCUCCGCAUUUUCCUGCCUCUCCUUCAGUGGAUUCUGAGCUUGGCCAUGAGGUCUCUGGAUCUACUCAAUUUGGUGGAGAUUUUGGAAAUGAAAACAAACAGUUCAUCCCUUUCAUGUCUCCCCCAUCAUUUUCUUCAGCCCCUAUCAAGCAAAUAAAUCCAGAACCAUGGUCACCACCGUAUUCAUCUCCUUCAACAAAGCAAAGUGAGCCAGAAUCUUCACCGCCAUCAUUUUCUUCUAUAUCUCAGACCCCAAAGCUAAGCGAGCCAUUUGAUCCAACUUCCUUGAAAGAAAAAGGGAAACAAGCUUCAUCUCCUUCUCGAACUAAGAGUGGGGCCAAUGUAGACUUGCAAGAUGUAUUGGCUGCUGCACGCACGGCUGCUGAGACCGCUGAACGAGCUGCAACAGCUGCUCGUGCUGCUGCGAAUCUUGCACAGAUUAGAAUCUCCGAUCUUGUAGCAAAGAGACACACAGGGGUUUCUGAUGGUCAAGAUGGUGAACUCCAGAGUGAGUAUUCUCAUCGAGUGGAGAAGAUGGAGAAACCAGUAUUUGACAAACAAGAUUCAUUUUCCCAUGUUGAAGGUGAUGCUGAUUACAAACUGAAGUUGCACGACGUGCCAGAGAUCACAAGCGAAUCAUUUAGUCCAAAGGAGCAAGUGUCUGAGUUCCAUCCAUCUCAUGCCCCGCAACGACUGGGAUCUUUGGAGGAUGACCCCUAUUUCUCCUACCCCAACCUCUUUACAUCUCAAGGAUCCAAACCUUGAUUCAGUGUAUUCUCACAUGGGGUAGAAAUCAAGGGCCCUCUCAUUUAUAAAGAGAUUGAAGAACGCCAUUUAUGUUUGCAUUUGCACUUGUUUCAAGCAGCCCUACCUGCGGUGUGGAGAUUCACAAGUAUGAGUUCUAUACCUAUUACGUAAUCUGCUGCUGUUAAAAUUAUAGUUUGUGCUUGUGGAUGCGUUAUCUCUUAUAUAUAUUUUGUAAAUUUAUGACCUGAUAGCUAGACCUUCUCUUUGGAUGUAAUGAAUGCAAAUAAAUUACAUAGAACGGUUUUGCUUUCCUCCCGUGGUUCUGCUGAUGUUCCUACAAUUGCGAAUACUUUCCAAGCUGUAGUUCAUACCUGUCUUUGGAACUACUGAUAUGAUACGAAAAUUUGAAUAUGACGGCCUCUUGGGCUCACAUAUUCCGCUCAGUGGACGAUCCACAGAGUAUUUUGGGUUUGCCGGAGGGAUGUUAAGUUACAAUAUCAACAAAUUCAGGAGAAAUAGCCCAUCAGGUUAUACGAGUAAAGACGAGGAAAGGAACCGUCCUCGUUUACUUGAAAUUCAUAAUCUAAUACACGUGUUUUAACUGGUUAGUUCCCCUGGCGGACCCAGUCACAAUUAACAUAACAUUGACCGCAAACGUUGGAAUGAGAGAAACGAAUACGACCGGGCAAAGUUCUAAAAGCUCUGGUACAACAAAAUAUUUGAAGAGCUAACCCGCAGAGAGAGUAGAAACAGCCUAUCAUCCUCGUGCAUUAUUUUUUCCAAGCUAACAUUAUCCCCUAUCUCAGAAAGGUUAAAUUACUGGAAGAUGACGAAGUAUAUCAACUUUUUCUCAGCUGAAUAACUGACUGACUGCAAUUCCAGUACAUGAAUGCUGACCUGUUCAACACCCUGCUCGAACAACCCUUUUUUCAUGCAUGGAUUCUCAAGUACCGUAAAAAGGAUGCCUUGGACCAGUCAAAUCAGUUUACUGAAUUUCCCUUUGUGAUCUCAGCAGCGGUUAUUAUCCUGGAAAACAUGAAUAUAUAAGCAGAUCUUUCAAUACACUGUCGGGUAAAUCAUGUCACACCUUCGGCUUGGUAUGUGGCUGUAUAAGCCCAUAGGAUUUGAAAUCUUCCUGCUCAUCCGAUUAGUGAGGGAAUCAUUUCUGGAACAACUGGUUCUGUAUGUGUUGCUACCGGCUAUGCACAUCUAGGAGCUUUCAUCAGAAGGGCAGCCAUCUGAAGUGUCAUCAAGAAUAUCCCCGCAGCUCUCCUGAUGGCUACCUGAAACAAUCACUGAUGGGGAAGACUUCUUGUCGACAUUAUUGCAGGUGUUUGAGUUGUAGUUCUUUCCCCUCCACACUACAAUUUGCUCCUUGUCAAAUGUCACAAGAAUGCAAGGAACCAGGUCCUGUAUUCAUACAUGCAUUAAACAAAAUCCAUCAAUUUUUUUAGUAAAAAGAAAUUUUGUUCCCAUUUAUUACGGAAAAAAAAAAAACACUAAUUCACAAUCGAAAAGUAUCAAGAGCACAAAAAUUUAUCAAUUUUCGAGGAUGAAAAAAAAAAUUGAGUAAAGACCAAUAAGCUCUUACUUCACCAUAUAUACUUACCCUGAGCUUAACGCCGAUCUUCUUAUAGUCACUUAUUGGCAGUCCCUUGCAGUCUAUUCGGACGAGCUCAUCAGUUAAAAAAGCAUCCCGAACCAUCGGUACCAGACUAGCAUAAUAUCCGUUCUUGGCUGCACGAUCAGAUCAAACAACUAAUGACUAUUUAUUCAAUAAAGAUAUAGAUUAUAUAGAAGUUGGAAUUAGUUUUACCAAGCUUCGUCAAGACAGGAACAGCAAGGCCUUUCUUCCUCAUUUCCUUCGUCUCCUCAAUAGUUAGACCCUCAAUAGUAGUUCUAAUCAACCUCGGAUAGAUUGGGUCAUGAGGUUUCCACAACAUUAAAGGAAUUACAGGCCUUUUCUUCGGAUUGUAGUGCCUUCCUCUAUACAGAAUGAUCUGACCGCCAUGCCUGUGGAUGAUUAGACCGCCAGUCCUUUCCUGAAAGCAUGUGUGCUGAUUUCCAGUUAUGAAGCACGUGACAAAAGCGUAGAAGGAGCAUACAAAUGCAUAGCCAAUAGAAAAUAAUAUAACUAAUAAAAGCAUGAAGUUAAGAGGAGCAACCUAAUUUAAACAACAAGCUAUAAUUGGUGAUCUAAUUUCGUUUUAAGAAUCACAAGAAUAAUGCAUCUUCUAUCUCAUUGAACCCAAACAACACCUUCUUUUGAAGGUAAGAAAGGCAUGGAUGCAGCAAGAUGAUCGAUAUGAAAAUUAUGAAGAAAAUAGAAUGCUUCAAUAACAUAGAGGUCAGGAUAAUGAACUCAGUUUUUAACAAGCAGGCAACUUUCACGACUGAGUUCCUAUAACUGUGGAGCUUCCAUUCAUGAGGGAUUAGGACAGAUCUUCUUUGCGUUCUAUUUGGCUCAGCAAAUUAACACUAUUGUACUAAGAUUCACACAUCCUGUUCCAGGAAAAUAAACCACGCAAAAAAUGACAGUAACAUAUACUUCAUGCGAUCCUUCCGUAUAAUAGCAUGCACAGGCAUAUGCAAGGUGGGCUACCUCAAGCUGGGUGCAGACAUUUUGCAUAUCAACUGUUGGCACUCCAAGACAUUUUAUCCUCACAACUUCAGCACUUUUCCAAUUAUUGUGAAUGUCAUUCAACAUGUUGUGUGUGAGGCCAUCUCUCCCUGAGAAAAGAAAAGGCAAUGGCUAAUUUAUAAAUAUCUGCAAUAAAUUAACUGCAAAAAGCAUCAACACUAAGAAAAAGUCGAAAACAAAAGAUGCAUAAAUUGCACUUUUAUAUGGUUUAGGAAGAGUUAGAAGACAUUCAUCUGAUCUACACCCAGAAGACCGAUGUGGAACCCUAACAUAAAAUAGCACCAAAGCAAGUUUGAGAACAAAUUGGCAAAUGUACUGCCCUAGUUUAUCUACAUCUGACCUACUUUAUAUCAAACAAGUGCACUUCCAGGAGCCAAGCGCCAGUCCAUAUAGUAACCAAGCAGAUUAGAAUAUUAUGCGGCCUAAUAAAGAGAAAAUCCAAAGCCACUGGCUCGCUUUAAUCGUUAAACAAAAAUGACUUGUUCUGCAAAGUUCCCCCUUUGUGUUCCCGCUCUUCUGUAGCGGCUUUCGUGCCCCAUUCUCUAGCUUGUUCAUUUACUAUUGGUGCAUACGGAUACACUAUGACUACUCGCAACUUUUGAACAAGUCGCAGAAACCCAAUCAGAUGCUAUCACCCAUUACUCUAUCAUCAAAAGGUGCAGGUUUUUAUCUCGGAAACACAUGAUGCCUAACCUGAUCUUAAUAAGAACCCAAACAACGUCAAACUUUACAACAAAAUAGAACCUGAACACGUUAAUUUUCCGGAUGGAGCCCGACCAAGAAAAUAACAUUCACAUAUGAUAAUCUAAUGCCCACCACAUAAUUAAUUUUAGCGUUAAUAGGCAAAUUAAAACAAAGUAGAGACAAAUUAAGGAGAAGAAACAAAAGAGAUUACCCAGAUUGACCUGGCGUUUGGUCCGAUUCUUCUGGCACUUGUCGAUCAGAAACUUCCUCUCGGGCGGCGACAGCGGGGCGCCGAGGAUCCUCUCCCUCAUCUUCCUCGCCUUCUCCGAGUCCACCGCCGCGCCCGGCUCGUCGCCAUCGACGGACCGCAGCGUAGGGUCGACCGCGGGGGCGGCCACCCCGGUCCAGACCCGGUCCAAGCGGCCCGGGCCGAAGGGCGAGUACUUGGGCUCGCGGAGGCCGAUGGGCUUCACGCUGGGGUCGCUCUCCGUGUAGCUGAACCGGAAAUCGAAGGGGAGGUCGGAGUGGACCGGUUUCAGCCCGGUCCGGUCGAGCGAGGAGGGGGGCUUGUAUGGAGGCUUCUUCUUCUUGCUCGUCGUGGAGAGGUCGGAGUCGUGGGAGCUAGGGUUAGGGUUUGGGGGGAGGAGGGAGGGAGGGGGGACGAAGCCGUAGCGAGUUCUUUUUUUUGUGUUUGGUGUUUGUUUGGCCCGCUGCUGCAGCUCGCUCCGGUGAACGGGGAAGUCGAAAGAGUAGAGAGUAGAGAGUAGAGNGUCGGAGUGGACCGGUUUCAGCCCGGUCCGGUCGAGCGAGGAGGGGGGCUUGUAUGGAGGCUUCUUCUUCUUGCUCGUCGUGGAGAGGUCGGAGUCGAGGAGGCGAGGGUUUGGUUUUGGCGGGAGAGAGGUGGGACGAGCAUUACGGGGAUUGGGAGUUCUUUUUUUUGUGUUUGGUGUUUGUUUGGCCCGCUGCUGCAGCUCGCUCCGGUGAACGGGGAAGUCGAAAGAGUAGAGAGUAGAGAGUAGAGACUGUAGAGAGCGCCUAAAAAGUGAUCGAAUAGAGGUGCCGUUUUCUAUUUCGGCCGCGACCCAAUUCCCCGUCCGAGUCCGUUCCCCUCUUCACGAGUUCACUGCUUUGUUACAAAAUGCAUCUAUUGCGCGCGUGCAUUCAAAAGCUGAGUUUAAGAUUGUGGACCCAGCCAUAUCAUUCUUUCUAGAUUUUUUAUGUUAAGGAAAAUAUAUAAGACUAAUUAGACAAUAUUAGCUCUUGAACGGAUGAAAUCUAAAGGAUAGCAUUGUGGACCCAGUCAGAUUUUUUUUUCGUGGAUUUUAAUAUAGAAUAGAAUCAAUCGUUUCUAGCCAAAUUAGUAACAUCAGGUUGUGGUUUCUCUUCACCAAUCAAAACUUUCUUUGUGAGCAAUCCAAUAGUGCAACAGGAUAUCUUUUAUUUUAUAUAUAUAUAUAUAUAUAUAUAUAUAUUGAGAGAGAGAGAGAGAGAGAGAGAAGAAUUUAUCGACAAGAACAAAACGUUAGAUUUUACAGGCAACUGUUACAGUGAACAUGCAGUAAAACCACCAGUAAUAGCACUCGAGUCACCAAUUGUAAUAAGUAACUAACCAUAGACUCACGAUACAACAUAAUUCACAGAUGCAUUGAGAAAAACAGCUGGUAUUGCCGACAGGUAUAACCAAAUUAUAUUGAUUAUUACAAAAAAGCCAAUUAUGAUUUGGUAGUACUACCAUAGAUAAGCCCAUGCGAGUACGAAAUGUCUUCAAUGUUCAAGCACUAACAAAAUGUGUAGAUACAUAUACCGACGCAACAUAUGCUGCAAUGUGGGAGUAAUAUGUUGCUGCAAUGUGGGAGUAUAUUAUCGGUCCAGCUAUUUGCCUUCAGCAAGAUAACGAACGACGAGAUGUUAAUGAGGGGGGAAAAAAAGAAAAGGAAGAAGAAAGCGAGAAAAAAUUACACGACAUCAAUAAAUUACUGCAGAUCAUACAUUUUGGCCCACUGAUUCAAUUGCACAAUAAAAAUUUCACUAGGAUAAAUAAUGGGCUUAUCGAGAACACAACAUUAGAAGAUAAAAAUAAUUUAUAACACACAUGAUGAUGAUUUGUCACCUUGGACCGGACAGUUCAACAGCAUGAAGGUUGUCAGUUGAAUCAACAAUCCACUCAGAAGGGCGGUGUGGGGCCAUCUCAAUUUCCUGUCGCACCACCUCCACUUUCUGCCAUUCCUCCCAUCUCUCAGCAAGGCCGUCGCCUUCGAGCAUUCUCACCACUUCCGACAUUUUAGGCCGGUCCAUUGGAGAUCCCUGUGUGCAAAGCAGUGCGACCUGGAUAAGUGAUUCCACCUCAGCCUCCACGUAGUUGUUUUGUAGAUCUGGGUCCACCAGCAUUUCCAGUCUCUUCUCCUUCAGAAGACCUUUUACCUGCCGGCAGAAGAAAGUUAUACAAGUUCAUCAAAUUGAACAAGCACCAAUGGUCGCAUUUCCUACGCAUCAAAAGGUGAUUUUUGAUCUAAACAAAGAAUAAUGAUAUGCAAUAGGACCAUAACUGUUUCUGUGGGAAUAUGAAAAUUGCCUGAAAAAGUCUGAUGAUUUGGCUCUUUUUUGCGGCAUUAGUGCCUUCAUGUGUGUGUAUAGAGUAAAGAAGUGCUUACCCAGUCAAGCAACAUGACAUCAUCAUCGUUUGCAAGCCGAGCAAGAUCAAAAGCCCUUUGUCCAGUAAUGAGCUCCAAAAGCAUGAUCCCAUACCCAAAAACAUCAGUUUUUUCAGAAGACUUUCCUGUGGAAAGGUACUCUGGAGCAAUGUGCCCAAUCGUUCCACGGACAGCAGUUGUUACAUGGGUAUCCUUGUAAUCCAUAAGUUUCGCCAAGCCAAAAUCCCCCACCACCGCUUCAAACUCUUCGUCCAGUAAGAUAUUUGCAGCUUUCACAUCACGGUGAAUAAUCUUGGGAUCACAAUGGUCGUGCAAAUAGGAUAGUCCCCUCGCAGAUCCCAAUGCAAUUCGUUUUCGUGUCGGCCAAUCAAGCGGUGGCUCAGAUGGAGGACGCUCUACAAAAUGGAACCAUACUCUUGAGGAUAAUGCGAAUGUAAUCACAACAAUAACAUUUAUAUUUAGGGUGUGCUGGCAUUGUUGUUUACUUGUUUGUGUUCCUCAUGUUCUAUACAAUUGAAGGACCGAUGGAUGGAUUACAUUAUUCUUGUGAGUUGUCAGUUUGCAGACUCACCUCCUUUAUUUUCACCUCUCUGUCGGUGAUAUCCAUAAUGCGAAGUUGGUAAACAAUAUAUGAUAAUAAAAAUUAAUAAAGACCAUUCCUAGGUAUCUUCAAUUGCACGGAACUUGAGAAAAAUGCUAUACAAAAAGAAGCCUUAUUAUUAAUGCUCAACUUGUACUAAGUUAUCAUAUUGUUUGUUAAAUAUUAUAACAGGGCACAUAAGAUUUCUUAGGAGCAAAUAAAAGAGGAAAAGAGGAAUAGUUACAUAGGAAAACAUAAGAGCAGGGAAGCAAUUAAAAUAGGAAGAUAAGAGAUAAGCACCUCGUAAGCAUGAAGCAACACUUCCGUUAGCCAUGUAGGGAUAGACAAGCAAUCUCUCAGUGGGCGUCAUGCAAAACCCACGAAGACGGAGUAGAUUUCUGUGUACAGCCAUACUGAUCAUCUCCACUUCUGUCUGGAACUGAAGCUCCCCACCAGGUGUGCGUUCUUCUUUUAGUCUCUUUACUGCUACCAAUGAUCCAUCCGCAAGCCUCCCUUUGUAGACCUUUCCGAAGCCGCCUCUUCCCAGGAUAUUCUUAUUGUUGAAGCCGUCAGUUGCAACUUGCAGCUCUCGCAGCGAGAAUCUUUUGAGCUGGCCAAGAUGAACUUCUGGAUCCUCCUCAGCUGCAGAUAAAAGAAAAAAAAAUUUGAUAAAUAUGUACUCAAACAAUUGGCAUUGAAUAAGUAUUACAAUGGCAUGCCAUGUAAUACCAACCAGGUACAUCAAAGAAAUGCUCUUGUGGCUUGCGGCGGCGCCACCAUGCAAACCCAAUAGCGGGAGCAGCAAAUAAAAGCGCAGCACCUGCAGCAACUCCCCCAGCGAUUGCUCCAGUGCUGGAGGCACUACUUCCUGUUUUAAAACAAAAAAUAGUGAAAAAAAAAAAAGAGGAGUUAAUAGCAUAAGGUACGGCUAUCUGCCUAGCAGGUUCAGCAAUAUACCGAAAUCUCAUAUCGGCGAGACUAGUAGCAGUUAUUUGAAGAAAAAAAAGUAACAACCAAGGAAGAGCUCAAAGACAACAUAGUUUUUCUAUUUAAACAACAACAAGUAGAAGACAUUAGGUUAAAGCUUAAUGACAUGGCCUAGUGCUCCAAAUAUAUAUUGACAUGGCAUAAGGAGUGUCAUAAGGAGACAAUAUUGAGUAGGUCAUUUUCUAGAGUACAUUUAUAAGCCCUUUUCUAGGCAAUUUCAAUUAGUAAACAAUGUGUGUGUUAGAAAUCUCCCUUCUAUUAUUUUUGGUAAGCAGAGGCACCAUAUGAUUUUGUAUUCUAUAAGAUUAUCCUAAAGAAGUUGGACGAUUUCUAACACACACAUUGUUUACUAAUUAGGUCAUUUUCUAGAGUACAUUUAUAAGCCCUUUUCUAGGCAAUUUCAAUUAGUAAACAAUGUGUGUGUUAGAAAUCUCCCUUCUAUUAUUUUUGGUAAGCAGAGGCACCAUAUGAUUUUGUAUUCUAUAAGAUUAUCCUAAAGAAGUUGGACGAUUUCUAUAAUGUGUAUUAUCAUUAUUACAUUCAAGUCGAUGUUUAAUACAAACUCUCAAUAAAAAAAAGUUAAACAUUAAACGAGUAACUAUACCUGGUGAUUGUACUAGUACUGGAGGAUUAUAUGGAGGAGGUGGAGAAAAGGGGGGAGCACCAGGGCAGGGUUUAGUGGUACCCGGACCGCAUAAAAGAGGGUUGUUAGCAAAACUGCAGAGUGAAACACAUGGUAAGCAAUAGAUAUCAUCCUGCAAAGAUGAAGAACCCAAAAGUUUCAGAAAGUAGCAGGGAAGGUACCUGAUUGGGGUAAAUAAUGAAAAGGAUCCAGUGGAUGGAACUUCUCCAGAUAAAUUGUUAUUUGACAAAUCCCUGUAUGUCAAUCUCACCAUAUAUAAGAAUGCUUGUAUAGGAGAAGAAAACAUUGCAGAUAAUUUUACAAGGUAAUGAAAAAAAAAACAACUUACAGCACUUGGAGGGCACUGAUAUUGGUUAGAGAUUUGGGUAUUGGACCAGAAAGGCUGUUGUUGUUAAGCCGGCUAUCCUUCCAUAAAAAAUCCAGAAAAGAAGAAGCUUAAGUUAUAAACCAGAAAUAUACUUCAAACCAGAUAUUCUACUUUAAACAUCUAAAGACAAUGUUAGGGAAGCAGAAGAAGAUUGUUCUAAUUGAGGAAAAGAUGAGUAUUCAUACAGGAAGCGUAGUUUUGACAGAUUUCCCAAUGAAUCAGGUAUUUCCCCUGUAAAGUUGUUCAAGUACAGGUCCAAGCUCACCAAGUUUGUAAGGUUUCCAAGUUCACUAGGUAUUAUACCGCUUAUGUUAUUACUGUAAAGUUCCCUGACAGCAAAAGAUGAAAAUCAUCAUACUUCUUAGAAUGUAUUAUGCAAGAAAGAUGUAGUGGAAAAAUGCCCACUCCCAAACUGAUAUGCACCGACAGAUUACACGCAAUUAGCUGAGGGUAAAUUUCAUUGAAGUUCGGAAGAACCUAAGCAUGUACGAUGUAUGAAGUUCCAAAAUUUUGCAAAACAACCACUGAAAUACUGUCAACAUUAGCAUGAUAUACGGAACUCACAGGUAUUGCAGAUUUUUCAGCUCACCAAGCUGCGGAACCAACGUACCAGACAGUGCUGCAUUUCCAAGAUCGCUGAAAUAAAUAAAACAAGAGCUGCUCAGAUAGGCUAAAAAAUAAAUUGUUAUAUACUAUAUAAAGAGCAAAAUACACCUACUUACACUCUGAUGACACUAUUAUCAUUGUUACAUGUAACAUGGAACCAUGUGCACGGAUUAACGAGCGUUGGAUCCCAACUUUGCAGCACAUUGUUGGGAUCAUUCAAGUUGGUCCGUAAGCUAUGCAAAGCAUCACCUAUAGAUGGAAGAAUGAUGUUGCUAUCAGGAAUCACAUAAGCAUCAGGAACUAAUUAAAACACAAAGUAAGCAGAUAAACUCAGUAGAAAAGGCAAGUCAAGGAAAAGCUUCAGUUCAUUUCUUGGCAUUAUUCUUAAAAUGAUACAAACAUCAAAUAUUGAAAUGACCAGAAAAUAAUUGAGUAAUACAAAGUGUAAUCAUAACAUCAAGAAUAUUCCAACAAUGUAAGUCAGAUUUACGGAUUCUCUCACGAAUAACUCCAGCUAAAGGUAAAAUAAUGCCAUAAUCUUGAUAGGAAAUCCUCUAAUAUUACUUCUUGUGUGUCAGAAGGCUCAUAUCCACAGUCCAUACUUGGGUAGAGUAAAAAGUCACUUCCUUGGUGUAAUUGAGAUUUCAAAAGUUCACUACAUGUUAUAUAUAUCACUUCAGCAGCCUGCCCACAGUCCAAAGUUCAGUAACUUAUAAGAGAAAACCAGAUUUUAAUACUAUCAGUAUUAUCAUAAGACUAAAUUAUCUGAACGAACAUACUAAAACCCCAACUAUAGUAAGUACUCAAAAGUUAGAGUUCCCAGAUACAGCAGAACCAUCAAAUAGCUAGUACUAUUUGUGUACCAAUAUAUCCUCGUUUAAACAAAAUAAAUCUAGUUGAACUUCUAUUCAUAGUACGUAGCUGAGCGCUGAGCUUUUCAAAGUCCGAACACCUCAUCACCCAACUAAACCAUAAAUUACGCAAAGAAGCAAAAUUUUGUCCAAAUUUUCCACUAAUCGAUCUAGUAACUGAGGACGAAGGGAUCUACUAAACCUGCCGUGGUAAAUACUCCACGAAACCUACCAAUUCGACAAGCGCAUUUCGAACCCUAAACUCCAACCUCGUCGCUCGCCUUCGAAAUCAAACACAAUAAACCAAAAAAAUUACACAAUAUCAGCUAAAAUCCAAACACUAGCACGCAAUCAAACCUUCCAUGUUCGCACGAACCCUGGCAAGGGGGUGGAACACCAAGAUUAGCCACAGAAACCACGCCGCCGCCGCCUCCCUCGCCGCAGCCAUUGCCAUUGCCGCCGCCGCGAGCUCCGCCGCUACUCCGCUAGAUCCGCCGCCAUGCUCCGCCGCUCAAACCCUAAAUCGACCCCAAACCCCUAAGAAAUCCUCGGAUCCACCACCAUUUUCAUCACGUCCGAUUCGCCCCCAAAUCCCCCCACGCCGAGCACCGCACGAUGAAAAGGGAUCAGAGAUUCGAAAGCGAUCCGACGAAGAUUCGAGCAAACCUUUAUCCCCUUCUUUUCACCACGCCCUCCUCUCUCUCUCUCUCUCUCUCUCUCUCUCUCUCUCUCUCCCCCCCGCUUCUACUUUUUUCUCCCUUUUUCCAAAGAAUACGUCUAAUUUAUUUCUUUAUUAUCUUCUUCGGAAAAAUAGCGGGAUAUUUCUUUUUGUUCGGCUUUCUCAGUGCGGGGAGUGACUGAGGAGAAGGGUUUGGCAUUUCGCGUGCAGAGAGUGCCGGGGCUGCCCGUGAUGGGCUCUGCCCGCUGCCCGCUGCCCGCUUGCUCGCUGCUAGGAGCAAACGGAUCCGGGUGACGAACACCGUACAGCGCGGAUCUCAAAGCGCUGUCGAUCGUCGGGUUGGGCCCCGCUGUUCUUUGUGGAUGAGCAACGCUGUACGCUGUUCGGUCCAAAACCACCUAAAGAGCCCCACCGCUGCGGUCAACGGUCGCUUGUCCAGGGCCACCGUCCACGUCAGAUUCGGUCAAAAGUUCCCAAAUAUCUUCUUUUUCGGAUAGUAUAAAAUGACGGCGACGGAGGAUAAAGGGGAUGAAAGAAAAUAUUAAUUAAAAAAAUCUAUAUCAAAUUAGGUCUAAUUACAAAUCGUCCCAUCAUGUGAGGUUUAAUUGAAACAUUAAUUCGUUCUGCGGAAUAGUUCAGAUUUAGAUUUUUAUUUAACCAAAAAAUAUAUUAAUUGUUCACGUUUUAAACAUCUAAGAAUUAAAAAAAAAUUUAAAUCCAAAUUUGUAAUUUAAAUUUUUUUAAGAUGAUUACUUAUCAACGUUGAUAUUGAGAUAUAGUGAUGUAGAUGAUAAUAUGAUAUGUGACAGAACACACCGACGAAUGAAGGCCCAGAAUCUAUUGUGGGCAUGUUGUUAUGGUGUAAUGGGCUUAAAGCUUUGAUGCUCACUGUAUGUUCCUUCCAGGGCAUGGACCAAUGUUUUAUGGGCCUAGUCUAAUUCAGUUCCAUAUUGAGGACUAUGGGUUGAGCUCGGUCCAAGUCAAUAGUGAGCUCGAUCUGAGUUUAAGAACAAAUAUGGAACCAAGAGAGAUAGGGCUAACACUUUUUUUUAUGGCCAAUUUGGUGAGCCGAAUUGGCGAACCUCUGUUCGAUGGGAGGAGGAGACUUAAAGAGUCUUCUACAAUAUGAGCUCCCCCCUACCAACAGCUAUCACAAAUUCAGCGAGCCUAUUCGUCUUGCUAAACAGUUAAAUUUAGUAAUAGUUCCAUAGAUUUGAAUCGUGAUAGUCCUGAUUUACUAAUUUUGGCUCACAUGGCGAGCACAUAAGAACUAUGUUCCCCCUACCGAGUGGAACGAUAUAGCAUACUGCAUCGUAUAGCACAUAAAGUUUUUCAUUUGGUGUGACUUCAGAACAAAAAUGCCUCUCUUUUCUGAUUUUGUUGAGCGAUAUAGUCUUCCUGUCUUAAUCCCAAACCUGCCCUCAAUUUUCUUGCCGCCUUAACUGAUCAAUUAGUACAAAAUUUCUAGUCUCUAAUUUCAUACGAAGACAAAGAUAAGAUACACUUGAUGCCUUCUUAGGCCGUCUAAACACUUCUUUUUUUCUCUGUGUCAUUACUAUUAUUGUCAAUACUAAUUCAAACUCUAAAGCAGAGACUAAUCAUGCCUUAAUGACAGCAACAUGUGACUAAAAAAAUUAUAAUAACAAAUAAAUAAAUAGUGAUGCAAAUAUUUCGAACUUAAUCUAUCUCUUUCUUAGUCAAAGCCUCUUCCAAGAGCCACCGAAAUAAAUCAAUGAGCUAAAACCCCACUAGAUUAAAUAAUGGAGAACGUUACUUUCUCGAAGAUGGAAUGCCACAUAAUUGUAUAAUAAUUCUACUAAUAAAAUUUCUUUCGUAACGAUACCAUGUCAAAUUUCGUAUAAAAAUGCAUGGGCCGGUUGAUGGAUUACUUAAGUAAUAUUAACGGUGGCCACUUUUUUCUAAUCCGAUGUAUGUUGUAGUUUCUUGGAAAAUAUACUAACCAAAUAAAUAAGUCCAAGAGCUUAAAUUUUUUUAAGUUUGCAAAAUGUCUAAUGCUUUGAUCUUUUGUGCGAGUUUUACUUUCAUUAGACUCCUUUCUUGUAGCAGUUGUUUUCUAUCACCAUGCAGAGUGACCCAAAAGGUGCAAAAAGUUGCGUGAAGUGUCUAAUUAUUUAUACCGACUGUCUCUAGAGCAAGUGAUAAAGGAUUUGAUGGUUGGUACCCGAGACCCAAGUUCGAAUCCUAGUUGAUUCACAUUUUUAGCUAAGUUUAUUUCUAAAUGAAAUAAAUAAAGCGGGUAACAUGCUACCUAUCUCUCAAAAGAAAAAAAAAAAAAAAGUGUCUAAUUAUUUAUGGUCCAGGGACCGAAUCUUGCUAUGUCCUAAGCUACUGAUGUUUUCGUUUGGUUCCACAUUUGUUGUCUUUAUUCCAUAUUUGCUUGAUUUAGCUCUUCCACGCUUUAAGCACAGAUACUUUUCUCAAAAUAUGAAGGUCUCCUUUGGCUUUCAGUCAAAACUGUGUACGCACUCCAACCUAAAAACUUUCAGUUAAUUUAUCGUCAUUGUCUAAUGCAGUUGAUUAGCAUUCAAAAUCAUCAAUUAAGAGACCGAAAGUAUGAUUCUCCGCAUAUAUAUCUUUACUAAUUAAAGAAGCAAUUUAGCUCUAGAAAAAAAAAUAUAUGAUUAGCUCUACUUCAAUAAGAUUGAAUUCUACUGUUCUAUAUACAUUUCUAUUUGGGAAUAGCAUUGGGUUCAGAGUCUUCUGCGAAUUAUUUAGAUAUUAGAUUAGAUAAUUUUUCAUGGUAUUUUAAAUUGCAGGUAUUUAUCAACCGAUUACAUAGUAUUCAAUAUUAUAUAUGCCAACACAUGGCGUGUUUGGUUCGCUUUAUUUUCACUCUGGAAUCGGAAUGAGUGAAUCCGUUUGUGUGUGUUUGUUAUGCGGCAGUCCCAUUCCGAUUCCGAUUCCCGAGUGGAAUGGGAAUCCCUCAAUCUCCUCUUUUUUCGGCUUAGGAGGUUGGAUUGGAAGUUGAAUCCGGACGGAGGAUAUUUAUUCGGAUUAAAUUUAUUUUUUCAACUUUUUUAAUUAAAAUAUGAGUUAAAAUUUAAAAAUUAAAUAUAUAAUUUUCAAUUUUAAUUUGAACUUAAAUUAAAAAAUAAAAUUUAAUCAAGUAUUUCGAAUUUAACUUAUGAAUUUGAAUUUAAAUUAAAUUUUAAUUUAUAUAAAGUUUUAUUCAAAUUCUAUUUCAAACUUAAAUUAAAUUUAUGGAUUCAAAUUAAAAUUUAAAUUGUAAUUUUAAGUUUGAAUUUGAAUAAAUCAAAAUUUAGUUUCAUAUUUUGAAUUAUCCACUCAACUUCAAAGUUUAAUUUUUUAAAAAAAAUAGAUUUAAAAUUUUGACAUUAUUUCAAAAUUUUGAUGUAAAUUUUAAUAUUUAAUAUUUAAUUUAAAUUUAAAUUAAUAUAUUGUAAAGAUAAUGUUAGUAUAUUAAUUUGAUUACGUUUUUCAUAUCCACCUGAACCAAACACCGAUAAUGAGAAUGAUUUAUUUCGAUUCCGAUUCAGGUGAUAAAUCAAACAAAAUUAGGUAAUGAGUCAUUCCGAUUCCAAUUCCAGCUUAUUUUGAUUCUGUUUUCGAUUCCAACUCCGACUUCGAACCAAACAUCUGUCUAAAAAAAUAACAUUCUAUAAUAUACGUAACAUAUCUCCUUUCUAUUUUUUGUGGUCUUCCGGGAUAUAUUUUUGCCUUUUAAAAAAAAUUACUUUAUAUACUCUACAUUAUUAUUAAUAUAAGUUAUUGAUCUAUCGGUAUAUGUGGCGUUAUAAUUUGUAUGUAUUUGAUUGAUUAGUACUUACCAUCUAAAAAUACGAGUCCGGCAGGGUUACUAUCGGUAGCACCAAGAAUUUGGUGCUAUCGAAUUUUCCAUCGUUAGAUUUAAUUCUUUGAUUAUUUUUAUCCGUUAGAUUAUACUAUUCAACCAACCACUUAUUCAACCCUAAGAGGCCCAUAUCAUCAUAACUAUACAUUUCUCAAUCCAAGGGCUAAAAAAUUAAUAGCACCAAUAGCUUGAUACUAUUGAUAGUUUAUAUAUAUUUAUCACUAUAUAUUAGUAUUAGUAAACCAUUAAGGUGGAACCUUUUGAAACACUCAAACCAAUUACAAUAUAAACAAAAAACCCAAAGCAAUGCACUUGUGCUUAUGCUUAAUAAACACAACUUCCCAAAAGGUGACACUUGUCUUUGGGACAUCAACCUUCUUAGUUGUAAAUAAUAUAAACAAAUGUAGGGAUUUUCUCCAAUUAAAUUUCCGUGAUGUUUGGACUAAUGAUGAAGUGGUGCAGGUGAGCAAACUGCGUGGCUUUGCAUCCAUUGUCCUUAUAUUCUUCUUUAUUUAACUUGAUGUGAUGGAAAGAAUCAUCCCGAGGCACUCGAAGCCUAACAAGUCAAAAUAAAAAUAUAUUAAAAAACAAAAAGAUAAAGAAGCAUCUCAUACCCUCCUUUUCUUACCUUUUUUUGAAAUUAAAAAUGCUAUUGUAUAUCUACAUAUACAUCUAUAUAUCUCUAUAUAUUUAUAUAUAGAUUAUACUUUGCUAAUUUUAGAAUGUAUAAAAGUGUAAAUAGAUUUCAGUUAAAAAAAAAAGAAAUGAAAAAAAGUACAGGCCUUAUGAUGAAUAGGACGUAAAUUUUAUAUCUAAUCUAAAAAGAUAUGGAUAGCAUUGUUUUUUUGAAAUACACAAGAUAGCUUUGCUGAUGAGUUAAAUAUUAAUAAUCCUUAUAGAUUUUAAAUUUUAAACAUCAUUUUAUAAUGCAUAUUUAGUGGAUUUUGAUACCAUUCCAACAGAAAGUACUUUUUUUUAACCAUUUCGGAUGUAGUUAAAAGUAACCGUAUGGUAAAAAAAAAGUUGCAGAGCGUUUAGCAUCUAAGCUCGGAAAAUAUUUUAACAUAAACCUUUUUCUAAAGCUACGAAGAAGGCAUUAAGAGAUUUUAAUGAAAAAGUUAAUGAUCUCAUUUUUUUUUUUCUUGUAUGUUUAUAUAAAAAAUAGGGGCAUAAUUAACCCAAUUAGCUGGGCAUGCACUCGUUAAUUCUAGAAGCAAAAAAAGGAAAAGCACAAAAGUUCUCGACGAUACAAGUUGUUCUCAUGAUUGAGAAUCAAAUCAAAAGUCACGAGUACAGUGCCAAUAAUGGCUCGCUCACAUUCAACUUAGUCUUGUGUUAUCAUCAUCAGAAAAAGAACGCUGCGACGUACGGGGCACCAUACAUCAAGAUUCCGCAAACACCGCCACAACGCCCACAAUUUUAUGUGAUUCCACGAUAAACUAAUUAGCUGAUACAUUCGUAAUCGCCGUACAAAUGUAAACAUUAUUUACGUGUUGCUCUUGUGCUUUGGACAAUUUAAAAUUUGAAAACAAACACUACAUUGAUGACUAAUUAAGUGUCAUAUAAAAGUAAAACUAGUUGUUAAUUAAUGAACUUUUAGAAUAUAUUUUUGAAGUACAUGGACCACCAAACAGGCUAGCCAUAAUGUGCAUCAGCGCUUAAAAAAGCUUUACGUCCACAUCAAGAACCGCCUCUCCACCGCUCCUCCGCUCUUUACUCUCUUCAACAACUGCAGUUUAAUUAAUUCGACCCUUUCCUACUGUCUUUAAAACGGCACCCUCCAUCCCAUUCCCUUUCUCUUGCAAACCAACCCCUCUACACUCUCAUCACCGAUAUGAAGAGUAGAAGAAGCUACCAUCGCCACCACCUCAGCCCCAUUGGUAGCCCCCCCUCCNCUUAAAAAAGCUUUACGUCCACAUCAAGAACCGCCUCUCCACCGCUCCUCCGCUCUUUACUCUCUUCAACAACUGCAGUUUAAUUAAUUCGACCCUUGCCGAUCGCGAACGUGAGCCGCAUCAUGAAGCGGUCGCUCCCCGCGAACGCGAAGAUAUCGAAGGAAGCCAAAGAGACGGUGCAGGAGUGCGUGUCGGAGUUCAUCAGCUUCGUGACCGGGGAGGCCUCCGACAAGUGCCAGCGCGAGAAGCGGAAGACGAUCAACGGCGACGACCUCCUCUGGGCCAUGACCACGCUCGGCUUCGAGAACUACGUCGGCCCGCUCAAGACUUACCUCAACAGGUACCGCGAGACGGAGGGCGAGAAGAACGGCGCCGUCGCGUGGCAGGGCGACCAGUCCCCCGCCGAAGACGGCGGCUGCGGCAGCGGAAGCAGCGGAGGAGGCCGUAUGAACCCUGACUUCAACCACGCCGUCGGUAGCAGUGAUCACGUCGCUAUGAUGGUCUCGGGGUUCAACGGCGCCGGGUUUUACGCGACCGGGCCGGCCCCGGUGGCGGGUUCGAACCCCUCCGUCGGGGUUUAUCAUGAGAUGGGUAGGGUGCAAAAUGGAGGGGGAGAUCAAGGGAGCAAUACUAUCCGUGGAAUUCAAUGGCAGUAGCUAUAAAUUAAAGCUGGGUAUUAGUAUUACGCCAUGCACGUACGCAGACAUUUUAAUUUGUUACUUUGUUGUUUUGUUUUGUAUUGUAUUGUUUCCUUCACUAUUAAUUUAGUAAGAGUUUUGAGACUAUAUAUAUGUGUUGUUAUCACUAACGGUUGUGAUCCUGCGAGUGAGAGAAAUUAAGUGCUGGAGAGUGCAUGGAUGGCACCUUUGUUAGAAGAAAAUUAGUUGUUUUUUUUUUCAGAGAGAAAAUGAGUACGCUAUUCGCUUCAUUCAUUUUAUAAAUAAAAUCAGUUGAAAAUGUGAAGCAACUAAUUUUGAACUUGAAAACUCGAAUGCUAACUAUGUAGCCUUUUGCCACUUGCGCUAGGCAAGCUGGGUGACGAAAAUUAAUUAGUUUUUCAAUCAAUUUCUAUGUUUUUUGUACUACAUUAGUGCAUGUCAGUAGAAAUGAUAUUUAUAUUGUUAGUUGCGGUAGAGGGGUGCUUGAUUAUCAGAAUCUAUGAUGUGGUUAAAUGUGUAACUUUUUCAUCUGAGCUAGUAUACCGUAUAAGCAAAUUAAGAGCAUGUGGUGUGGUGGACACAACAUUAAUUACAUAGCAAUUAAUCCAUGCAUUAACCCUAAUUAACAUCAACUUUUUUGAAAGAUCCUGUUUGUUGCUUGCAUUUCAAAUGCUAUGGCAAAGACAAAAGAAUUUCCCAGGACACAGAGGAGCUACAGUUGGAUACCAAAGGGGAGUCUGAAAAGGAUAAAGUGUCCCAAUACAUAUGAGGGCAUCUUUGAAAAAGAAGCUACAGUUGUUACACAUUAUUACAAGCCUGAGAUGCAAAGCAACAAGAAUAUAAAUUAGGAAAACCUUCCAAAAGACUAUAAUUUCCUAAGCCUUUGCACCCCAAAAAAAUAAAAAUAAAAACCAAAACAAAACAAAAGGAAUUGUGCUUUUUAAAGAAAAAUCUUUUAAAGUUGUUGUGCUAGAAGGAAUUGGGGUAAAACAAGUUGAGAAGUACAUCUUUAUUAUUCUAUAUUAAGCUAUAAACAUUAAAUUUUAAUAUAUGGAGAUUUGACCUAAAGUAUUUUUUUCGCAGCCUCUGUCUUGAGGCCUGGCCCAGCCCAAUAUGUGGGGCCGGGAGCAACCCUGUUCACAAAAAUCAGACCGGGUGGGUCCGCCCACUUAGGCAGUGUGGUUUUACAAACUCCACAUUGCACGUCUAAUGUGUGGUGCCAUCACUUAUAUAUAUAUAUAUAUAUAUAUAUAUAUAUAUAUAUAUAUAUAUAUAUAUAUUCUUGUUACAUCGUAGAUUGGCAGGAUCUCGUUCACCGUUUCCUGAACCACCAACCAUGGAUACAGGGUUCAAACUUAGGAUCAACUAGGCUGUGAGAGGUCUCGACUUCUGUUCGGAGGUGUUAUUUUGUUUGCUCUAGAGUGUUUAUCGCACGAUGGAUAGGGAGAGAGUUUUUUUUUUUUUUUUUUUUUGUUACGUCGUAGAUAUUGAUAAAAACCUGACAUUAUUAGAAUGUUGUACAGUUAGGUUCUCAAUUUUAAAAUAGUAAACGUGGCAAACAAAGAUCGAGUCCAACCUAUUCUAAACUACCAACCAUGGAUUUCAAAGUUUAGAAACAAAGUAUAAAAUCAAUUUAAGUAAAGAUAUUUAUUAUUUGUUAUGAUUAUCAUAGGACGAAAAGAGAGAGAGUAUUUUUUUCGUACAGAAAUUAAAGUGAGAUAAAAAAAUUAUAUUUUAAAAAUUUUUUAUUAAAUUUGAGUUUUUUUUUCCUCAAAAGUUGUGAACCUACUAUCAAUGUUAAGGAUGUUCGAUAAAAACGUCACUCCAAAUUGUAAAGAGACGUUUUUUUUUUUUUUUUUUUUGUACGGAUACGAGUAAAAUAUGUACAUAUAUGCUCAACGUNCUAUAUAUAUAUAUAUAUAUAUAUAUAUAUAUAUAUAUAUAUAUAUAUAUAGAGAGAGAGGAUGGAUUCCACCAAAAGCUGGACUAACUAUCCCCCGUUGACGGGUCAGAAAUUGAAAGCAUAAAAUAAAAUAUCAUAAUGGGGCGGACGCACACAAACUAAUUAAAGGUUCACGUAAAUUAUCAACAAUCAAACAGCUCGAAAUGGAAUUCAAAACUAAAGAACAUAAAUGCCACAUCCGUAAUACAAUUUUAUUGAUAUCGCAUAACAAAUGCGCCCGCAAUAGUUAAUUAAUCAACAAGGGCCUGGUCUGCCUCGUUGAAAAAGUGAGCCUUAAACGCGUCGAUGUGGUCCGGGCUCAGCGACACCGACACUUGGACCCCACCGUCCCGGGCCCGGCCCAGCACGUUCUCCCCGUCGUGGUGCAUGGACACCAGCUCGACCCGGCUCGGCUUACCCCACCCGAAAUCGGUCUCGUACACCCUGAACCGGGGCGACGCCGACACGCUGGCGGCUCGGUCCAGCGGGAGCGCCAAGACCCGGUCCAUCCAGCUCUCGACCCCGGCCAUCGGGUCGUCCAGCGCCUCGCGGAUCGCCGCUUGGAUCGCCGAGGAGGCGCGGGGGAGCGCGUCGGGGCCGGCGAACUCGCCAGCUGGCGCCGUGGCGUACGAGCCCUUGAUCAAGUUACCGAAAUACCCCUCGUCGACCGGAGGAUCGAGCCGGGUCCGGAUGUCCACGAUGAAGCAAAGGUGGGUGUCGCCGCCGGCCCGGUCCAGCGACUUGGACCGGACGAAGGCGGUCCACGCCAGGGCCGUGACCGCCACGAACGUCGAGGGGGGCUGCUGCGGCGCCAUGUGGCUUUGCGCGAUUCGCUGCUUCAGCCACUCGAUGCGCUCCGGGCUCACCACGAAGGUUCGCCGCGUUAGCUUCAGGCGGCCUUCAAAAGAGUACCCAACAAAGCGCAACUGUUUAUUAAUUUUUUUGCAGCGAAUGAAAUAGGGAAUGUUAGAAUCCCUUUAAUCACUGAUUACAAAUGUGAAACGAAAUGCCACAACGAUUGUUAAAGAAAAAUCGAAUAAAUCAUUUAAUCUCACAUUAAUUAUUUUAAAACAUAUGUUAAAUUAUUAAGACACAUCAAAUAUGUUCAUUUAAGCUAUCAAAAAAAUUAAUAAGUAUUCUCAAUUUAAGCUAUCAAAAAAAUUAAUAAGUAUUCUCUAGCCACUUAAAAUUACAAAAAUAUUAUUUUAAUAUAAUAUAUUUUUUAGUAACCACCUAAAUACAGAAAAGACUUUGACAGAGUCACGUGACUGAAUAGAAAAGGUACAAAACUUUGCAGGUUCUAUUGUCUUCUUUUCUUGCAAAGGAUAAGGAUUAGACAAGAGUAAAUGCGUCCUAAUUGUGAGUUCUUGUUUGAUACCAUAUUUAUUUGUUAUUUAAUUAGAUUAAAUUUUAUAUAUUAAAAAGUUAAUAAGCUGCACGGCGCCCGAUUCAAAAAGAUGUUUUGUCCAAACAUGGAGGAAUUCUACACUGUCACGCUUGCACCACGUCAUUAAUAACAAGUUAAUCAUAUUUAUUCUUUUCAAACAAAAAUAAAAUAAAAAUAUUUUUUUUAUAAUUACGAUAGGACAUUAUUGAUUUUCUACGCCACGUUAUCAAUAUACUCGUUGCAUUCUAAAAUUUUUCCCAAACAUAAGGAAAGGAGGCAAAAAAAAAAAGAAAAAGAGGAGUAAUUAUGAAUGACAAGAAGCAGUGCAAAUAACAAGAAAAGAUGGAAUGCGCACAAGCAAAUGCCUCUUAAUUCAAGAGAGUGAGUUAUGAUUUAGACCGUUUUCAGCAAUGGUUUAUAUAUAUAUAUAUAUAUAUAUAUAUAUAUAUAUAUAUAUAUAUAUAUAUUUGAAAAGUUUUUUUGUAUUUGAUAAUUAAUAAGUACUCGCGAUCUAUCUGAAACUAUAAUUUGUGUUUGUGUUUGUGCUUGCUUGCAUGAGAAUAGUUGAGUAAAUAUUGUUGCAAAUUAAUGGUAAUAUAUAUAUAUAUAUGUCUGGUGUCUUACCAAUAACCCGUGCAUUUGAAUAGUACAAAAUUAUUGAAAACUGCUGCAAAAUAAAAAAAUUAUGAAAAUAUGGCAUGAUUUAACUUAGACAAAAAUUAUAUAGACAUCAUUUCCAAAUUAGACUAGAUAAAUUGAAAAAAAAAAUCGAUGCGGAAGGGCACCAAGCCCUUUAUUUCUCUAAGUAUACUUUUUUGUUCUCUCUCUAAAAAAUCAGAAUGCAUAUUUUCUUUUUUUUUUUGUGUUUCUAUGCGUGCGAUGGCAUCCACCGAUCCGUAUCAUCUUCGAACCUAGUUUGGAAAUGGUAUUCAUUCAAUUUGUGUCCAUUUAACUGUAUACUACGAGUCUACAACAUGUCUGACUCUGACGUACAAAAACUAACUCUUUUAAGGUAAAUCCGCGUCGGCCCAAACGAAGCAGUAAGCAGGAAGAUAAAAUUGGAAGCGCAAAAAGCUGUCAAUAUCGAACGCGAACUGAGCAUGCGCGCAAACGUACCUUGGGAAGAUCCGGCGUGAACCGCCGCGCCAACGCCCGCGCGACCUCGUCGGCCCUCGGAUGCCCGAUCGCCGCCCGGUCGAACGUCGGCCUGCACGGACAGCACCGGCGCCGGCAUCUCAUCCGCGCCGAGCUCCGGCACCAGUCCCCGGAACGCCGCGACGUCGUGCUCCUCGUCGCCGGCGAGGCUGCGGAGGUCGCCGCCGUCGGCCUCGGCCUCGACGAAGGCGACGGCGGCGGCGGAGCAGUCGACGGCGACGUCGCCGGUGGCGGGGAGGUAGGCGAGCUUGCCGGCGAGGGGGAGGAAGCGGCGGAGGGUGGCGGAGAGGGAGGAUUUGAGGGAUUGGAGGAGGGCGGGGAAGGGGGGCAGGUCGGGGGAGGGCUCGUAGAUGAGGAUGCGCUGGAUCGGGGGGUAGGCGAGCCAGUGGGUGUCGAAGAGCGAGAGCUUGAUUAAGUUCCCGGGAGGGUUUGGGACGGGGGCGCCAUCCGGGAGUGGGACGUGGCUCACGUUAAGAAUCCGCACCUCCCACAUCAGAAACUGCAAAUUAUGAUGAUGGAAAAAUAACGGAGAUCAAGAAGAGGACGAAGCAGCAGCAGCAGCAGCAGCCGCAGCAGAGAGCCGGAUUAUGAACUGGUGGCUGAAUCGAACGCAGAAGAAGACUAUCAAUACACGCAACUAUAUAUAUAAAUUAUUAUAUACACAUUGCUUUCAAUUCUUUUAAAAAAUAAGACUAAAUUACAUAAAAUCUCCUAUCAAAACAUAAUUUUUUUUUUUUUGUCAUUAAAAAUCUACACUUUAUUUUCAUUAUAAAAUAAAAAAUAGUAAUAAAAAAUUAUGGUGUAAAUUAUGAUGAUAAAAUAAUCAUUUUAUCCCUCAUCAUUUUUUAUAACAAAAGAGAAGUCUAUGAACAUUUUUAGCAUAAAAAAUAUAUAAUAAUAUUUUAUAAGCGGAAUCUAACAAAUCACUAACGGUAGGAGAUGAAAUGAAUAUUUUUUAUUUUGUAAUGAAGGACAAAAUAUAGAUUUUUAAAUAACAAAACAAAUAAAAAAUUAAAUUUUAACAAAAAAAAAAAUCUGUAAUUUAGCCAAGGAAUAAUACCCCACACACACACACACCAAAAGGGUUAUACAAUGUACACUUUAUUGAUCUACUAUCCAUGUGAUUAAUAAAAGUCAUUGUACGUCAUACAUGCCAUUAGUAAGUGAACAAAUAGUUAUUUUUUUAAAAAAAAAUCAACUAUACAAACGGGGAAUAAAUAAAAUUACAAAUUUACCGAUCGUCCGUAGAGCAAGUGAUAAAGAGGUUGAUAGUUGGUACCCGAGAUCCAAGUUCGAUUCAUAGUUGAUUCAUAUUUUCAACUAAAUUUAUUUCUAAAUAAAAAAAAAUAAAGCUUCUAAAGAAAAAUAAAUUUAUUCCUCAUAAAUUUUAACCAUUAAAUAUAAAUUGGAGUUCUCUUUGUUACAGUUUAUUCUUUUUCUCCUUGGGAAUUGGGAUAGUGUAGCGGUGACGAUCGCCUUUUUUGGAAAACCUUCUUAAUUGCUUUGACGAGCUCACCAUUGUCGAUCCGGCCCAGCUUAGCUGCUCGUCUUCGCGCUUAGUAAAUAUUUUAUCUAAUAAUAAAUAUUUUAUUCUUACCUAAUCUAUAUAUUUUAUAUUAAAUUUAAAUUUUUUUUAUUUAAUAUAUAAUUUAGAUAUAAAGAUAUUAUUUUUCAAGAGUAUUUAAUGAGCGAGAGUACAACAUCCCCAUGUAUUCGCUGUCACGUGUGGAUGAGGCAAAUGGUUGGCUCUGUUUGAUUGGUUAACCGCGAGGGGGCGCUCUUCCAAUAUUAUGUACCCUAAGCCAUUUUUUAAGCUAAAAAAAUAAAUAAAAAAAUUAAUUGAACAUAAGAUAGUAGAAUUAAUAAUAUCAACAAUACCUACUUUGGCUUCUGUAUUUACUUUAUUUUAAAAAUAUUAAUUAUAUAAUAAUAAUUUUAUGAGGCGGCAUUUAUUUUAUUUUAAAAAUGUUAAUUAUAUAAUAAUUUAAUGUGGCGGCAAAGACAUUUUUUCUUAUUGUCAUAUUUGAUUAGUUAACGAUACAUUAUGAUUAAAUGACAGAUGUUGAGUUAUUAUAACAAUACAUUAUGAUUAAAUGACAAAUGUCGAGUUAACAAAACAUUAUGAUUUUUAAAGAUACGUAAUCCAAAUUUUCCACAGCAUUGGAGUGUUGGCGAAAGAGUGGGCUGACUUCAGUCGAGUUUGGUGACGUUUUACUUGUUGGGCUGUAUAGUGUUUUUGUCACCUGUGGUCGAUUGGUCGUCAGUCUUUCUUUUUUUCUUUUUUUCCUUUUGCUACUCUUUUUUUUUUUUUUCUGGUCUUCGCGUCUUUUUGAGGCCUUAGCUGCCUCGCCCUUUAUAGCUAAUUUUAUUUACUGAAUGAAUGAAGCGGAUGGCAUGCUACCUUCCUCUCUAAAAAAAAAAAAAAACAAAACAUUAUGAUUAAAUGACAGAAUUGUACGCAAUCAAUCACUAAUAAGAACAUAAUUAAACGCCUCAUCUGUAAUACAAUUUUAAUUAUGAUAUCGCAUAACAAAUAUGACCUCCUCAAUAGUUAAUUAAUCAGCAAGGGUCUGGUCGGCCUCGUUGAGAAAGUGAGCCUUAAACGCAUCGAUGUGGUUCGGGCUCAGCGACACCGACACUUGGACCCCACCGUCCCGGCCCCCGACCAGCACGAUCUCCCCGUCGUGGUUCAUGGACACCAGCCGAAGUCGGUCUCGUACACCCUGAACCGGGGCGACGCCGCCACGUUGGCGAGCCGGUCCAGCGGGAGCACCAUAAACCGGUCCAUCCAGUUAUGAGACAUCGGGUCAUCCAGCGCCUCGCGGAUCGCCGCUUGGAUCGCCGAGGAGGCGCGGGGGAGCGCGUCGGGGCCGGAGAACUCGCCAGCUGGCGCCGUCGCGAAGCAGCCCUUGAUCAAAUUACCGAAGUACCCCUCGUCGACCGGGGGGUCGAGCCGGGUCCGGACGUCCGCGAGGAAGCAGAGGUGGGCGUCGCCGCCGGCCCGGUCCAGCGACUUGGACCGGACGAAGGCGGUCCACGCCAGGGCCGACACCGCCACGAACGUCGAGGGGGGCUGCUGCGGCGCCACGUGGCCCUGCGUGAUUCGCUGCUUCAGCCACUCGAUGCGCUCCGGGGUGACCACGAAGGUUCGCCGCGAUAGCAUGAAGCGGCCUUCAAAAGCGAGAUUCGCAGAGCGCAACUGUUUUUUUUUUUUUUUUUGGUGCAUUGAAAGAAAUAAAAAAUGUUAGACUCCAUGUAAUCACUAAUUACGAAUGUGUAACGUAAUGCCAUCACGAUUCUUAAAAAAAAAUCAUUUAAUCUCGUAUUCGGUUAAUUCUUUUAAAAAAUGUGUUAAAUUAUUAAGACAGAUCAAAUAACUCAAAUGCAAUAAAAAAAAUACUAAUAAACAUAUCAGUGAGACAUUUAAACAGUCAAAUAUUACUUUUGAUAUCAUAAAUUAUAUUAGCUUAAAUUUUGAAUUCAAAAUAUUGUUGACUAAAUCAUAUCAAAUAAAUUAAAAAGUAGAUAGUAAUAUUAAAAUUUUAUAAGAUGAAAUAGUAAAUUUAAAAUAUUUUAUAAUACAUAUAAGUUUUAUAUGUUUUUAUUAAGAAUUUAUUGUGUAUUCACGGUCUUCCCGAGAAGGAACUUUAUUGUGUAGCAGCUACGUAUCGAUAUCAUUUAUAACUAGUCAAUCGUAUUUUUAUUUUUGAGAAGGAAAAUACAGUAAAAAUAUUUUUCUAAAAAUUAUAAUAAAAUAAAAUGGAUGAAAUUUAAAAAUAUUAAUUGAUUGGUUGGAAACGCCACGUGAGUAAUAUGGCUAAUUGACUGCUGUAUUUCUAGAUCAUGAGUAGCUAUUAGAACUUUUUUUAGUUAUCUUACAUUUUAAAAUUCGUACCACAAUUCUGAAAUAACUGUUACUUGAUAAAAGUUUAAGCUAUCAAAAUAGAUUUUAUUUUAAUAUAAUAUAUUUAUAAUAACCAUCUUAAUAUAGAAAAAUUUUUGGCAUGGUUUAUGUGGCUGAACCAAAAGAGCACAACUACCUGAUCUUUGCAGAUUUUAUUGUCUAACUAUAUAAAAAAUUAUAUCUAAAAAUUAUAUACUUAAAAUAGCCUAAUCCCAAUCUUUCUGCCAAAUUAGUGGAUAAUGAGAGGGAAGGUAGGGAUGAAAAGGAAAAAAAAAAAAGAAAAAAAAGUGAGGCCCAACUCCACCGCACCUACCCCGAAAUUAACAUGGAGAUGUCAAAUAGUAUUGGGACUCGAGGUUCAUAUAUGGUUAUAGAUUAUAAAUGUUGUUGCAAUGGAUAAGGACUCGAAAAGAGUAUGUGCAUCCCAACAUUAAGGCAUGUUUGUUUCAAUGAAAGUGGGGCGAAAGUGGAGAGGAGGGAAGUCGGUUUCGCCCUAAACGAUCAUUUCUGUUAUUGGCUUGCCGUAAAAAAGUUACGGUCGAAACUCGAGUUAAUCUCAAACGGCGUAAUUUGCUUCAUCCCAUCGGGGGCGAAGUCGAUUACGGUAAAAAUAGAUAAAAAAUUAAUAAAAUAAUAUAAUAGAUAAAGCUAUUAUAUUUAAAUAUAUUUAAUUAUGUUACUAAUUAUUUUCUUAUUCAGUUAAUAUAUCUAAAAUAUGAUAAAAAUCGAUUAGUUAAGUUUUAAUAUUUUUUUUAUUUAGUUUGUACAUUUAAAAUAUGAUAAAAAUUGAUUAAUUAAGUAUUAAUAUUUUUUUGCUUUAUAAUUUUAUUAUUGUAUUACUAUAAUUUAUGUAUAAAAAAAUAAUUUAGUUGUUUUAAAUUAAAUUUUAAUUAUAUAAAAAUAUAAUUAUAUUAUUUUUAUUUAUUAAAAUAUUUAUUAUUUAUAUAUAAAUUAUAGUUUUAUAUUAUACACUUCCUACCAAACAAACAGCAGAACUGAUACAACUUCACUUCCAUAACUACGAAACAAAAAGCAGAAAAGAAAUAGUUUUUACCGAACUCCAGUUCAACCCAAAGUCCACUUCAACCCAUAGUCUACAUGUUUGUUUGGGUGGAAGUAGGGUGGAAGUGAAGAGGAGGGAUGUCAUUUUUGCCCUAAACGACUACUUCCGUUAUUUGGUUUGCCGUAAAAAAGUUACGGUUGAAACUCAAGUUAAUCUCAAACGGCGUAAUUGACUUCGUUCCAUCGUGGGCCGAAGUUAAUUAUGGUGAAGAGAGGUGAAAAAAAAAUAAAACAAUAUAAUAGAUAAAGCUAGUUAUAUUUAAAUAUAUUUAAUUAUGUUACUAAUUAUUUUUUUAUUCAGUUAAUAUAUCUAAAAUAUGAUAAAAAUUGAUUAGUUAAGUUUUAAUAUUUUUUUAUUUAGUUUGUACAUUUAAAAUAUGAUAAAAAUUGAUUAAUUAAGUAUUAAUAUUUUUUUACUUUAUAAUUUUAUUAUUGUAUUACUAUAAUUUAUGUAUAAAAAAAUAAUUUAGUUGUUUUAAAUUAAAUUUUAAUUAUAUAAAAAUAUAAUUAUAUUAUUUUUAUUUAUUAAAAUAUUUAUUAUUUAUAUAUAAAUUAUAGUUUUAUAUUAUACAUUUUCUACCAAACGAACAACAAAACUGAUGAAACUUCACUUCUAUAACUACGAAACAAACAGCGGAGAAGAAGUAGUUUUCACCGAGCUCCAGUUCAACCCAAAGUCCAGUUUCGGUGAAACAAACAUGCCCUAAGAGCUCCAAUGAUAUCAUAUUUAUUUAUUUCUAAGGCUAAAUUACAGAAAACCUUUCUAUCAAAACUCAAUUUUUUUAUUUUUUUCCUUGUCAUUUAAAAAACAUACACUUUGCCUCCUUGUAAAAUGAUAAAUGUUCACAGGGGGUACGGUGUGAACUGUGAUGAUAAAAUAAUCAUUUUGUCCCUCACCAUUUUGCCUCUCACCAUGUUCACAGAAGAGAAGGUUGAGGACAUUUUUGCCAUAAAAAAUAUAUAAUAAUAUAUUAUAAACGGAACCCUAACGGAUUACUAACGAUAGGGGGCGAAGUGAAUAUUUUUUAUUUUACAUGGAGGCAAAGUGUAAAUUUUUAAUGACAAAGAGGAAAAGUAAAAAAUCAGAUUUUGACAGAGAUGUUUUAUAUAAUUUAGCCUAUUUAUAAUUAGACAAAAUUUUAUAUAUUAAAAGAUAUAAAAGUAGACAGUAAAUUAUUUGUGAUUUUUUCAUACAAAAUAUUUACUUAGUAACAAAAACUAGAAAGAGUAAAUUUUUUUUUGGCAUCUAAUUUUUUAAAUAAGCUGUCAUCUACGACUUAACCGGAUACAUCAUAAGCUAGCUAAUCACGAUAACAAAAAAGAUUUUUCUUCGGCAUAUUAAAUUAUAUAGAAUUAAUAUUUAAAAGAAUAAAAAAUAAUAAUGAUAUUAAACGAGAUCUAAACUUUUUAAUUAAUAAGCUACUUGGCACUCGAUUCGAAACAAUUAAUUUUGUCCAAACAUGAGGAGGUCAAAGAAAAAAGAAGAAGAGUAGCUGUGAAUGACAAGAGGUAGUCCCAAUAACACGAAAAGAUGAAUGUGCAACGGACUUUGGAGUACAGACAAAAAUUUUAUGGGCAUCGUGAUCAAAUAAUUUGUUUGGGCACGGUGCCCGGAUGGGCGCCGCGUGUGCAGCGAUGCCCAUCCGCACCCUCCCUUCCCCCUCUCUUUCUCUUUGUUCCUAAAAAUCGAGCCCACCAUUUUUUAUUUUUUAUUAUUUUAGGGUGCGGUGGGCGCAGCUACACACGCAACGCCCAUCGGAGCACCGUGCCUAUAAAAUUAUUGUCCUUGGAGUACUAGCUUUGGAUGUAGAUCAAAAGCAUACGCCUUACUUAGCUCAAGAGAGUGAGUUAUAACUUCUAGGCCGUUUUUAAGAUCUAUUUGGAGCUGUAAUUUAUGUUUGCGUCUGCUUUCAAGAGAACAGUUUGACUAGAUGCGGUUGCGCAUGGCUAGACGUGGUGUCUUCCCAGCAAUGAUAAAGAAAAUUUGUACUUUAAUAACUUGUCAGUUUGAAUAUUAAUAAAUCAUUGAGAAUGGCUUCGCAGAUAAGGCUAAUUAUUGUGGCGUGAUUUGACUUUGACUGUAUGUACCACCGAAUAUCUGACGUACAAAAACCAACUGAUUUAAGACAAAUAGGGGCGGCUCCGAAGGAAGCAGUAAGCAUCAAGAUAAAAAAGUUGGAGAUGUGACAGCUGUCAAUACGGAUAAGUAUUGCAAGUUGAGCAUGCACGUAUACGCACCUUAGGAAGAUCCGGCGUGAACCGCCGCGCGAACUCCCGCGCGGCCUCGUCGGCCCUCGGGUGCCUGAUCAGCGCCCGGUCGAACGUCGGCGGCGCCCCGAGCUCGGUGUCGGUGGCCCCGCGGCACUCGGCCGCCCACGCCGCCAGGAACUGCCACACCGCCCGGCCGUCCGCGACAGCGUGGAGGGCCGAGACGCCGACGACCGCCCCGCCGCCGGCGAGCCUCGUGGCCUGCACGGACAGCACCGGCGCCGGCAUCUCAUCCGCGCCGAGCUCCGGCACCAGUCCCCGGAACGCCGCGACGUCGUGCUCCUCGUCGCCGGCGAGGCGGCGGAGGUCGCCGCCGUCGGCCUCGGCCUCGACGAAGGCGACGCCGGGGCCGACGGCAGCGGCGGAGCAGUCAACGGCGACGUCGCCGGUGGCGGGGAGGUAGGCGAGCUUGCCGGCGAGGGGGAAGAAGCGGCGGAGGGUGGCGGAGAGGGAGGAUUUGAGGGAUUGGAGGAGGGCCGGGAAGGGGGGCAGGUCGGGGGAGGGCUCGUNAAAAAAAAAAAAAAAAAACUUGGAGAUGACACUAUCAAUAUUAAAAUGUCCCCUAGCCAUUAAGUAAAAGGAAAAAUAAAUUAAAAAAAUGAACAUAAGAUAGUAAAAUAAUAAUAUUAGCACCUCGUUUUAAAGUAUUAAUUUAAUAUAAUGUUAUAUACUGUAAUUCCAUUCUGAUUCUAUUUUCGCUCCCAAAUGGAAAUCCAAUGAUCCAGGUUAAAAACAAUCCUUUCACGCGCUACGGAUUAAAGCUUAAUUCUAGGAUCACACAGCUUAAAGAAAAAAAAAAAAAAAAAACUUUGCGGGAUAAAAUAUUAUUGGUACACUGAAUUUCGUCACUGCUCUCCACGGCCCCUCUCAAAUAUCUCUCUCUUCUAUACUAUUUUCGCUAUCACUUCCCUACUAUUUUUAUUCUAAAAAGUAGGUCAUUUUCUUCUUUCUUAUCAUGCAAUGCACACUUUACGCAGGAGAGAGAAAAAGAAUGUUCAAGUACAGGAAAAGUCAUUUUCCCUAUAAAUUUUGAUAAAUUAGCAGAAUUUAUGAGACAUAUAAUUGUACUCCUAGAUAUAAAUAAUAUCUUUUAUCUUUUCUAGAAGGAACAAUCUACGCCGUCUAUGAGGUGGAGGGGGUUACAAAUGUGAAGGACGAUAUUAUGAAUGAUGAAAUUAGACUUAGCGAAAUGAGCAUGCAUAUGAAAGAAGAGAUUAGGGAUUAAAGUAACUUUAAAAAGCAUCAGCGCGCUUUACUCUAAAAGAUAGGAAUCUAAUUGCGGAAACCAAAUAAAAAAAAAAGUUGCUAUCAAAACAGAAUCUUGGACAAAAAUUAUGACUCGUUGAAGUUUUCUGUAUGCAGCCUGUGAACUUAUACUAAAAUACUAUAUAUAUGAAAAUUUAAUUUUGCGGAGCAACCAAACUAACCAAAGUUCUCAAUCACAUUAACCCGUUACGUUUUGGUUUGAAUUGUUAAACAUACAAGCAAAUGUGUGACGAUUCAGCUCUGACCUUCCAACAUACAUACACUCUUUAUUUACGGAAUUACACAAAAGAAUAAUCUUUUAGCUAGCUUUUCAAAAUUUACUGGAGCAAAAUGAAUAUCAAAAUGUGAAGUUCACGAGAGUAUUCGACAUUUGAUCAGCUUAAAUUGGCAUAAAUGAAUGUUUGUUGUGAUUGGCAGUUAAUCAAUACAUAAUCUAGCUAGAAAUCGUGUAGAGCUUUAGUGCUUUUUCAAACAUUAUAAACUUUUGUGCACUUGGCUGUGAUAAGUUUGUCUCAAAACUUUUGGACCUUCUACGGCUGUUAUCCAGACAAGAAAAAAGAAUUUCCGAUCUCUCAGCCAGGAAGUCAGCUGAGUUAGCAUGUUUCGGAAAGAAAAGAAAUCUUCGCAGAAAGUUUGGACUGCUGCUUUUCCAACGGCGGUCUCAGUUAAUUACGAGACAUUUCUUACGAUCUGAGUUUAAAAUUGGUUAGUGUUCUUUCCGGCAACUCCAUCUCUACUCGCUGAUUGGAUGUCAGAAUAAGAUGUUCAAUAAUAUUUUUUUUCAGUAUGAAUAAUUAGAAGUUAAUAAUUUAACUUUUUAACUUCUUGUAUGUUCUUGGCUAUAUGUUUAAUUGUAGGGUAUAUUUUAUUACUAUAAGGUAAUUUAUUUUAUUCGAAAAAAAAAUCAACUUAAAAGUCGUAUGUGAUAUUUUCUUCUGAAGAUUUGAUCGUGCUCUUCAUCAACGAAAUGACUCAAAUUUUAUAAGCAAUUUGAAGAGAUGUAUCGAACAAAAAAUUUAUGUAUCACAAAAAAUUUAUGUAUCCAAACGGUGUCUUAAUUUUAUGUACAAAUUUGAAUUGUCAAUUAUUUAGUGAGUGAAAAACCAUUUUUUUUUAAAAAAAAAUCUACUUGAUCUUCUGGGUUUGGGUCCAAUCAAAAGAGGAUAAAGCAAUGUAAUGUUCGGCCGCUUUGUCAUUCGUCCAAAAUGGCCCGUUGGUAUACACCCAAAUUCUUUCGGAGCCCGCUUGAUUCUCUGUGCCUUGUAAAGCUACAAGACAAAAAAGAGUUAGAGCAAAAGCAUAUUUGGACUUCAAAUUUUGAAUAUAUAAUUAAUUUUUAUAGAUUCAUUACUGUAUUUCAUAUAAUUUUUGUAAUUAUAAAUUUAUUAAUAUAAAUAAUUAAUUUACAUUUUGAAGUCAGCGAUUAUUAGCUAAUUUAAAUCACAUAAAUUGAGAUGUUAAGAAGCAAAAUUAGAAUUUAAAAUGAUUCAUAGUUCAUGUAAGUCCUGUAUAUUUUUUACCUUGUUUUGAACUCCGAGUCUUACAUGCGUGACGACAAAUUUCGGAAGUAAUUGAUCAUAAUUUUUUUAAUUAAUUUAAGGUGAAGAGAAUAAUGCUAUAAAAAUAAAAUUCUAAACUCUUGCCAUUCUUUUAGGUUGUGAGAUAUAAUUAUAUCAACCCUCACAUUCAAAGUGCAUUUUAGUGAAUCCUUUAAUCUCCUAAAUUGCUAGUCAAUUUUACUUUUCCGGUAAUAUUCAGCACAUUUUAUAUAUAAAGUUUGAUUUGAAUGAGUAAAAUACUUUAUUGGGCAUAUACGUACAUAAUAAUUAAGCAACUAGAUGCGGCCCCAUUGAUAGCACAUAUAAGUUUGUGUUUGCUAAUCUUAAAAAAAAAAGAAGAAGAAAUUUAUUCAUUACGCGGAGCGCACGAACUUUAAAGUCACGCGGAUAGGGCUAAACGACAUCACAUUGGAGAUACUCCCGUACUAGUAAAUUAGUUUUUUGGGCCAAACCCCGCGGUACAACAAACUCAAAGGUGCAAACCAUCGUAAAAGUCGGAGGCGAACGCCUCCAUGCGGGCCGGAUCGACCGCGACGGAGACCUGAACCCCGUCCCCGUCUCUCGCGCACACCAUAACCACCUCCCCGUCGUAGUUCAUCGAGACCAGCUCGACCCGGCCCGGUUUACCCCACCCGAAAUCGACAUCGUACGCCUUGAACCGGUUGGAGCCCGACACGUUCACCACCCUCCGCAUCUCGCUCUCCGCGGGCACUAUCUUCCCCACGUCCUCGAUCAGGUACUCGCGGAUCGCGCGCUGGAUCGCCGCGCACGCGCGCGCGAACCCCUCCUCGCCGAUCAAAUCGCCCGCGGGGGCCGCGGCGGAGCACAGCUUCACGCAGUUCCCGAAGUACCCCUCCGGGGCCGGCGGGUCGAGCCGGGCGCGGCAGUCCGCCAGGAAGUGGAGGCAGGCCGGCUCGGCCCGGUUCAGCUGCUUCGACCGGGCCAUGGCGGUCCACACGUGGGCCGAGACGGCGACGAAGGUGGUCGGGGCGAGGGGGCUCCCGCGCUUUUUAAGGGUCCGGAUUUGCUCCGAGUCGAGCACGAAGGUUCGACGGGCGAGAUCGGCGGCGCCGUUGCACUGGAACUUCGGAGAGGUCGUCUUGGAGGUGACACGUACGAGCGGAGCGGAGUCAUAUAUAUAUAUAUAUAUUUAUUAAUUUACUAAUUAAUAUACACGCAUGCGAAGUUACUUAGAAACGAGGCAGUGAAAAUCAAGAAUUAAUAAACUUUCCACUAGCCCCCUAUGUGAGCUACAGAUUUAAACAAAAGGACGACUAAAUAUUUUUUUUUUUUUUUUUUUUUUUUAUUCAGCAUUCGGGUUGAUGAGUUAAACCAGAUAGUUAUAUGAGUGAAACUAAACAGCUUAUAAAUUUGUAGUAAGAAGAAAAAAUCUCAUUCCCUAUGUACAAGAAUAAAGUUGAAGUAAACACAAGCAGUGUAAACUGCUUACCCCAAGAUUAAGAUUUUUUGAUUAGUCAUCAUAUCUUGAAGCGGGCGCAAACAAAAGAUCAACUGUAUGGAGUUUCUACUACUGUCUCGUAUGUAUUACUAUACCGGGGAUCAAUCAAAAGUCAGUGGACGGUUAGGAACACCAAGGUACACAAAGGAUUAGUAAUGGAGAUAAUGUAAGGUAUCAAAAAAGAGGUAUUUCCUCAUAAAACGAAUCAUAAUAAGGACUUGAAAUUGGUAGAAAUGAUCAAGUAGUACUUCCCUACGAUUCCGAUCUAGAGUAUGCUCCUAUUCACUGGUUAAAGAAAUGACUAUCAAGAACGAAUUAAUCCUUUAUUUUUUUUUUAGUAUCCUCCUCUGAGACAGAAGAACAGGAAAAAAGAAAUGGAAUGCAGUAGUUGAAUGAAUAAUAAAAAAAAAAANGAGCUCCCGCGCGUCCAGCUCCGGAACGAGGCUGCGGAAGGCGGCGGCGUCGUGGGCGGGGUCGGCGACGAGGCGGGCGAGGUCGAGAUCGGCGGCGGCCUCGGCCUCGACGAAGGCGACGCCGGGGAGCGGGGCGGAGCAGUCGAUCUCGACGAGGCCGGUGGCGGGGACGAAGGCGAGCUCGCCGGCGAGGGGGUGGAAGCGGAGGAGGGUGGCGGAGAGGGAGGACUUGAGGGCGUCGACGAGGGCCGGGAAGCUCGGGAGGGCGAGGGUUUGGGGGAAGAGGAAGAGGCGCUGGAUCGGGGGGAGCCCGAUCCACACCAUGUCGAAGACGGUGAGCUUCACGGCUGCGUUCGGAGGAGGGGUUUGGGUUUCGGGAACGGAGACGCGGGAGACGUUGAGGAUUCGUACCUUCGACAUUUUCUCUUUUUCUCUUUUUCUCUUGCUCUCUUGCUUGCUUUCUUUUUGUAACUCCACGAAGGUGAGAAAAAAAAAUCUUGGGCGUAUAUUGUUCCAGUAGUCAGAGUACGUGAGGUUUGAAUGUAAUGCUCAUAAAACCUCCACGUGAUCCUCGGAAGAAGGAAAAGACAGGACUCUCAACCUCUUUUUCUUUUCUUUUUUUGUUUUUGUUUUUUGGGCCCCAUUUCGUUUUUGUCAAAGAGUUAUUUAUUGCAAGCAUCGCAUCUUGCACUUGUGAGUCAAUUGCACAUUUUCCCCCAUGAAAUAUUAUUCGAGCUUUACUUUAAGAAAUAUACUAUAUUUGUCGCAUUAUAUGUAGGCCUUUUUGCAUAAAAAAUUCACUUAUUUUGGGCUUUUAUAAAAACGGGCCAUCUUUUUCGUUUUUGCAGAUUCAGUCCACUUUUUCAGCAAACUGACCAAAAUACCCUUAUACGUUUUUCUCUCUCCUCUUUUUUUUUUUUCUAGUUCUUUUUUUCUUUCUUUUCCCCAGGGACUCCGUGUCCGCCUCCCUCUCCCGAUCCGCACGGAAGGUGGCCAAUAGUGGGGGCCUCCGGCCGCCGAAGGAGCAGAGGCGGCGCAGGUCGGGCGCCAAGGUCGGAGUGCACGACUUGUCGGUGGUGACGCUGUGCCUGCGACGGCCGAUCGCGAGCGGAGCUGCAUCCACACGUGCCUCGACCUCGCCUUCACCCCUCCGUGCCUCUCCCACGCCCUCAACCUCUCCACCUCCGCCUCCGCCUCUUCCCUCCUCAUCCCCAACAUCGCUAUCAGGAACGCGAUCCUCAGCUGGUGCGACCGCGCCGGGCUCCCUCACCCGGCUCCCCACUCCCCGGACGCGGCUCUCGACCUCGUCCGAAGCCUCAUGCCGAGGGGGCCGCGCUCCGUGCGCACGCGGAGGGAGAAUUCCCUUGUCGCUGCUGGAGAAGCCAAGGAAGCGCGGGAUUAGGAAGCCCCUGAAGUGGGCGCUUCGUCGAACACCACGAGCGGGGGGCGGGGCCAGGUCGGCGGCAGGGCCGGUGCACGCGGCGGCAGCGGGCGGGUACGCGAUGCACGCGACUUCUUCUUCUUCGUAAUGGUGUAAUGGUAUAAUUACACCAUUAAUGGUGCACCAUUACACCAUGAAGAAGAAGAAGAAGCAGCCGCAGCCGGCCGCGUGCCCGCCUUCCGCCGCCGCGUGUACCGGCCCUGCCGCUGACCCGGCCCCGCGCCGCGACUGCGCUCCCCGCGACCAGCGCCUCCCCCGCCACGACGGCGGGUGGGCACGCGGGCGUUGAUAAAGAUCCAAGGGCGUGGAUGGCGGUGUUGUAGGCGACGGCGUCGGGAGCGAACUUUCGGGACAUCUCCUUGAAGAGUCGAACGGCGUUCCAGGGCUUGCCGGACUUGGAGAGGGCGUCCAUGUAGACGGAGUAGGAGUGGAGGUCUUUGGGGACGCGGUUGCGGUCCAUGUCGAGCCAGAGCUCGCGGCAGCGGCGCCAUCGGCGGACCUUGAGCCAGCCGCGGAGGAGGAGGUUGUAGACCUUGGUGUCGGGGGGGAAGGGGGAGGGGAGGAGGGGGGAAGGGGGGCGGAGGAAGAGGGAUUCGGCGUCGGCGACGAGGCGGCGGUCGCAGAGGGAGUCGAGGAGGAGGAAGGAGAGGGGGCAAGGUGGGGGGGAGGCGGAGGGAGGAGGCGAGGCGGAGGGCAGGGCGUCGGGGAGGAGGCGAAAAGAAAAAAAAACGAACGAAAGAAACAAAAAGAGGAAGAGAACUGUAAUAGGGUAGUUUAAUGAGUCACUUUGCUGAAAAAGUGGACCGAAUCUGCAAAAACGAAAAAGGUGGCCCGUUUUUGCAAAAGCCCAAAAUAAGUGGAUUUUUUAUGCAAAAAGGCCUUAUAUGUAUGUGAAAACUUUAAUAAUGCAGCGUUUGGUUAGAAAAUAAAAAUAGAAAAAGAUCCUUAUCUUCCUCUUUAUAUCCAAACAUUAAUUUUUUUAUCCAAGAAUAAUAGUUUUCGGUUAUCUCUAUCAAUACCUUCAUUGUUAUAUAAAACUAUCUAAAAUUGUUCUUAUCCUCGGAAACAACCUAAUUUUCAUCAAAACAUUAUUUUUCUUAUUCCCAUACUUGUACCUAUUCCUGUAAUAACUAGUUCUUGCUAAAAAUCUUUUACUGGUCAAAUAAUGUAAACUCUUACGUCCUUCAACUCAAACGCAUGAAUUCGCACGAUAAUCUCUUAUUAUAUUGUACAUUUACAUAGCAAAAAUUCAAAUUUGAUAAUUUUAAUAUUUAUCACAGGUUCAUUGGCUCAAUCCCUUAAAUAAUUGCUCGGUACCAGUUACCGACCGCCUCUAGAGCAAGUGGCAAAGAGUUUGGUGGUUGAUAUCCGAGAUUCAAGUUUGAAUCCUAAUUGAUUCACAUUUUCAGCUAAAUUUAUUUUUAAAUGAAAUAAAUGAAACAAGUAACGUGCUAGCUAUCUCUAAAAAAAAAAAAAAAAAAAAAUUGCUCGCUACCAGUUACUCGAUAUCCAUAUAUAAGGGCAAUGUUGUCUCCUUAUUAGCUAGUAUGAGACGAGAGGGGAUUGUGAUUCCCAUCUCUUCUCCCGAUAUUAGACAACUGUCUCUCCCAUUAUUUGUUAUUUGUUAUUUCCAUCCCUUAAAUAAAUGCACUACCGCAUUUGUUAAUGUGUACGUCAAAAUCUUAGGUAUCGUUUGGUUCGGGGAUAAGCAAAAAGUGGAUAUUCCGGAGAUAGGUAUAAAUUGAGGUAUAAGCGGGGAUUAGAUGAAUUUUGCGUUUGGAUGAAAAUUGAGUAUUCCUGAGAAUAAGAAAAAUAACGUUUGGUUAGGUAAGACGGGAUAAGAAUUAAAAUGAGUAUUUAUAAAUAAAAAAUAAUGAUAUUAUUUUUUUCUUUAUAUUAGAAUUUAAAUUUUUAUAUUUUAUAUUUAUAUUUUAAAAUUUAAAAUAUAAACUUUUAAAGUUUAAAAAUUAAAAUUAAAAUUUAAAAUUUUAAAAUCUCAAAUUUAUAAUUUUAAAAAAUUAAUUUUUUAAAUUUUGAACUUUAAUUUAAGAUGAAAUUUUAAUUUAAAAAUACAAAAUAUCAUAUUCUAAAUAUAAAAAAAUUAAAAUAUCAAAAUUUAAAAUUUUAAAUUAAACAAUUUAAAAUUUAAAUUUUUAAUUUUGUAAUUUUAAAAUUAUAAAUUUUAAUUUUUGAAUUUAGAAAAUUUAAAUUUUACUGGUGGAACAAGCAAGGUGAUCCUAAAAAUACUUUCUUUAAAAUUCAAAAAUUGAAAUUAAACUCUNUAAGGGUGGGAACAAGCUAUUCCCACCCUUAACGGGUUAUCCCAGGAUAAUCCGUUAAGGGUGGGAAUAGCUUGUGGGAUAACCCGUUAAGGGUGGGAAUAGCUUGUUCCCACCCUUAGAUAUAGUGUUUGGGGAACAAGGAGGGAAUAACCCCUUAUCCCCACCCUUGUUUCCCAACCAAACAGGGCCUUAAAGAUCUUAAAUGAUUGUUCAGCCAAAAAUAGCACCUCUUAAUUAUAUUAUUAAAUCGACUCCUCGUGUUUCUUAUCAUAUUAAAUUUGAAUUAACACGAGUCCGCUUAUAUAUUUUGAGUGCCUAAGUUUUUAAAUUUGGAUGAAUUUAUUAAAUAUGUUAUAUUUUAUAGCUAAUGCGAGUUAGAAUCCGAUAGUCUCCUUAACACGACUAAUUAUUCCAUUCUCACUAAUUACAUGGUUUGCCUUGUAUAGUUACACUCGGGCAAAAUGAAUAGCAUACUAUACGUUCUCCCAUAACGUAUCAUUUAUUAUUUUAUCUGGGGUUUUAAUAUUUACAAAAGCAGAUCUUUGAUAUUCCCAGAAUAAUAUUCAUUAAUAUAUUUUAUUCUGUGAAUAAUAUGAAGUGCAAUGCAAAUUCAAACUCCCAUCCGUUUGUCGAGACUAGUAGCUAGUCACGCCGAGCCCAAAUUUGGGUGGGCUCUGAUCGAAAUCUCUGGGCCUAAUUAGGCUUGAAGUGUUUACGUACACUGAUCGAUAGUAUUAGGACCCAUUUGGUACUCGAGCUCAUCUACUCCUAGUAGGUAAAAUGGAGUUAAAGUAAAAGCAUAUAAGAACAUAUUUUCCUAUUUUUCAAAAAAAUAUAGAUAAUGUAUUAUAAUUAACUAAUUGCAAUAUGCAUAACGUGAUAUAUAUUACAUACGGAAACGAAUAUAUAUUUUUCUAUUGUACUUUCUUACUGCACGCAUAUAACACAAUCUCCCUACAAUCUCAAAUGAAGACGCGUCAAAAUAUUUUUUAUGCCCUCAAAGUGCUCAAUGGUACGAGAAAGCAAAAU
rnacentral:lncRNA from 1 species